rnacentral:lncRNA from 1 species
UAUAUACAUAUAUUAUUUAUUUAUUUAGCUAUUUAUUUAUUUAUUUAUUAUUGUUAAUUUGUUGGUGAUCCUAUCCCUCACCAACUGCUGCAGUUGAAACUACGACCAAUUUGGAUGUAGUUCCAACUGCAGCAUUUGGGUCUUCUUGUGCAGUUGGAACUGCAGUAGUUGAACUCAAUUACACUAAACCAAACAAAAAAAUUGUGGCUGCACGCAUUUGCAACUGCACUACAGUUGCAAAUGCGUACAACCAAACAGCCCCUAAAUGAAUUGAUUACGUAUUUCUAAACUCGAGCUUUUGGGAUUAAUAAUUAGUGCCAAUGAUUCGACAAGUGGUAUCAGAGCCAGAGGUCACAGGUUCGAUUCCUAUGCUGGAGGGGGGAUUGUUGGCAUCCUAUCCUGUGGUGUGAGAAAAUUUAAAGAAGUAUAGCACUUAACUUGGCUCUUCUAGUAUUUAAUUUGUUGCUAUUUCUUGCACAUAUUGUACAUCCUGUCCUGUGGUGUUAGAUAACUACCAAUAUUCUCAUUUUAUUUAAAAAUAAUGAGAAGAAAAAAAUUAAUUAGUAAAUACUAAGCGACCUAUUUUAUAAAAUUAUCUAAUUUGAAGAAAAAAAAUAUUACUCAUUUUCACUAUUUCUAACUAUAUAAGGCUAUAUAUACCAAUGCAACUUAUGCAUAACAUAUUGAUGAAAUAGUAAAAAAGCUGGAUUAAGUGAUAUAACUUUAAAUCUUUAGAAGGCAAAAUAAAAUUUUUUAAAAGAUUAAGAGAUAAGAUAAAAAAAGGAAUAUUUAUGUUUAAAUUUUUCAGCAUUUUUGCCGUAAAAAAGUAGUGGUAAAAACGCCCACAAUUUAUCUUAAUUGUGGACUAUUUUAAGUUCACUAUCCAACCUUUGAAUUUUUUUUAUUUGAAUUAAUUAUUCAAUUGCAUUUUUAUUCUAAAAUUUGAACGCAUCGAUCAUUUAUCUCUACAGAUUAUUUAAUAUACUAUAUGUAAUUCUUGUAAUUAUAAACUAAUUAAAAUAAAAAUUAGCUUAAAUUUUAAAGUUAAAAUAUUAUUAUUGAGAAUUAAAAAUUAAAUAAAAAUUAAAAAAGAAGUUGAACUCUUUUGUUUUUUAAACCAAAAUUCUUAUAUUAAUUGGAUACGCCAAAAUAAAUUAUUGAUGAUUCGAUGUGAUUUGCUGCACCUCUACAAUGUUAACACCCCGACCGUGAAUCACGUGGUUUGAUGUACUCGACACACCAAUCAAUUUUUCUGAGUUAAUAAUAAAUAAUAAAUUUCCACUAACGUUAUGAACGAGUAGUUGGCUAUUCUUUUUUUAAAAAAAGUGGGUGGCCAAUUUUUGUACCAUUAUUUUUUAGGUUAGUUGCGUAAUUAAGCUAAAAGAUAUUAAUUUUUUUUAGCUUAAUGCUAAGAGGUUCUAUUGUCUUUUAAUUCUUUUAUUAAUUUUUUGGAAUAUCUCUUUAUGUUAUUAUUAUUAUUAGGGAAAACUUCAAAAACCCCCCUGUGGUUUCACACUUUUUCAUUUUAGUACCCUGUGGUUUGAAGUGUAUCAAGUUAGUACCCUGUGGUUUCUCACUUUAUCACUUUAGUACCCUGUGGUUUAAAAUGUAUCAAGCUAAUACCCUGUGGUUUUGCACUUUAUCACUUUAGUACCCUGUGGUUUCACACUUUAUCACUUUAGUACCUUGUGAUUUAAAAAACUAUAGGGUACUAACUUGAUACAAAAUUAAAACCACAGGGUACUAAAGUGAUAAAGUGCAAAACCACAAGGUACUAACUUGAUACACUUUAAACCACAGGGUACUUAAGUGAUAAAGUGAGAAACCACGGGUACUAACUUGAUACAUUUUAAACCACAGGGUAUUAAAAUGAAAAAAAUUGAAACCACAAAGGGGGUUUUUGAAGUUUUCCCUUAUUAUUAUUCUAAUGAAUCCUCUGUAUCAUUAUAAGCCAGUGUUUCUCCCAUUCUCUCACUACUUGCUCUUAAUUUAGUCCUCCUUAAUGCCCCUCUUCCAGCAAGAAGAAUCAACCUUUGGGAAUAUGGCUUAAUUUUGUGAAAGAUUCCCGGAUCUCUCGCAAAAAAUGAACAUUAUUGAGACACAUUAAUUUGGUUCCGGAUUCCUAUAAUCAUUGAUAUUGGCCCCAUCUAACAAUACUAGGUAGAAUAAAAUUAGAGCAGAUAAAUAUAGAAUAUAUUUAUAUAUUUUUCGAUGAAACCACGAAAAGUAUAUCAUUAGUUAUUUAUUAUGAUAUAUGAAACACAAUAUUACAAACCAAAAAUAAUCAAAAAAAAAAAAAAAAAUUUACCGUACUUUCUCACUCACCACACAUAGAUUACUUUUCUAUUGGUCUAUUUAGUAGCUAGGACUGUUGAUGCACCUCGAGUACUUCAAAUGCACGAUUUUUGUAAAAUUUUUUGAUUUGUGUAUAAUUCUUUCACAUUAUAAAUGUCAAUACGUCAACAACAGUAUUAUUAUUAUUUUUUUUUUUAAGUUCGGAGAGACACUGGAGCACAGCAGUCCGUACUCAUUCGACACCACUUGCACAUGUGCACAAAAUAAGCUCUAAGUCUGAUCUAUUAAUGUGCAAAUACAGCUUUAUGUAUGGCAAUUUCCAAAUUUCUGGGAGAAGAACAAACGGUCAAACUGAAUCCGCUGAAUCCAAACAGAGACGGGGUAAAUAAAGAGAAACAACAACAAGAACAAUGUCGCCAAAACAUUUCUUUUCCAAAACAUUUAUUUUCUUCUCUUUUUUUUUUUCCAGUAUAGAAAAGUUCAAAUCAUAAGUAUAAUAAUAUAUAAUGCGCGCGUCCUCUCGGAUAAACAUCAAUUGCCAUAAGUAGGAAACACUAACAUUCGAAAACAAUCAAGAGAAACUAGAGUACCGAGCUCUUGUAGGCAAUCGCACUUUGUAGAUAAAAAUAGGAAAAGAGCAAUACAAACCUGGGAUUACAGAGCACAAAUGAUAUUUGUACGAGAAAACAGCUCAGCUUGGAAACAGUCUGAACAUUUGAACGAGCGAGCGAGCGAGCGAGCGAGCUUAGGACCGAUGCUGCUGAUACCCCGCAUUACAGAGAGGGAGGGUCUUUCUUACGUACGUACGUACAGAGGAGGAGGAGGAGGAGGAGGAGGAGCAGAGCAAGUGAUGAUUAUUAUUUCUGUACAAAUUAAAACAGGGGAGGCAGGAGGAGGAGGAGGAGGAGGAGGAGGAGGAGGGAGUAAUUGUGUUGUGGUGUUGUGGAUCAAUGGAGGUCGUAGAUGUUGGGGUCGGCGGCGUAGGAACCGAGGAUGCGGACGAAGACGGAGAAGCGGGAGAUGUCGUCGAUGGCGUCGCGGACGUUGGGGUCGUGGGCGGAGCCCUCGCAGUCGACGUAGAGGACGUGGGGGAAGGCGCGGAGGGAGCCGCGGCCGCGCACGUCGAGGAUCAUGACGGGGGCGGCGCCCUCGGCGGGCGAGUUGAUCACCUCCAGCUUGGUCAGGUUGAUGUUGCGCCUGGAGAAGGCGGACAGCACCCUCAGCAGCACCACCAUCGACCCCCCGCGGUGGGCGAUCACCAUGCUCGUCUUCUUCUUCUUGCUGCUCUUGUUGUUGUUGUUGUUGUUGUUGUUGUUGCUCCCGUCGCAGCGGUGGUGAUCAUGAUCAUGGUGGUGGUCGUCUUUGGAGAGCAUGAGGAAGCGGGUGACGUUCCAGGACUCGUCCUGGAGGCCGUGGGCGAGGACGUCGAGGCCGUAGAGGAGGGCGGCGCGGGGGCUGGCGAUGGCGGCGGUGUCGAGGAGGCGGCGGGAGCGGAGCAUCUCGACGGCGCCGGCGGUGUCCUCGACGGGCUCGCGGCGGAGGCCGAGGAGGGAGAGGGCGCGGCCGCAGUGGGCGAGGGCCAUCGGGUGGCUGAUCACGCGCCGGAGCUCGGCGGGGCGCACCCCGGGCAUGGCCAGCAGGCAGUAAUGCACGAACAGGCUGAUCUCCCGCACGAUCCGCAGGUCGUGCCGGAGCAGCAGGUCGUAGUUCCGCAGCGCCGUCCCCUCCAUCGUGCUUUCCACCGGCACGAUCGCCCGGUCCGCCGCCCCCCGCUCCACCGCCGCGAUCGCGUCCGCGAACGCCCGGCACGGCACCGUCUCGCACUCCGGGAACGCCGUCUUCGCCGCGAACUCGCUGUACGCGCCCCGCGCCCCCUGGAACGCCACGCGCAGCCGCUCCAUCUGCGCCGCCUCCGCCGCCCACCCGUCGAUCCCCGGCGCUGACGCCGCCGCCGACCCGUUGAUCCCCGGCGCCGCCGCCGACCCAUUGAUCCCCGGCGCCGCCGCGGCCACCACCGCCGCCGCCAUGUGCGAGGCUUUGCGAGAUCUACCGGAGCCGAAGAGGAAGACCUGCCGCUGCUGGUGGUGCAGCUUCUUCUCCCCGUUCCACCCCGCUGCCGCCGCGGCGGUGGCGGUGGAGAAGGGAUUGGGGAGAGCGCACGCCAUGGCGAUGGCGAAUUUUGGGGGGAUUUUGGGGAGAAGAAGAAGAAGAAGAAGAAGAAGAAGAAGAAGAAGAAGGGGGAUGAUGGAGAGAAUGGUGGUUGCGUUUGGGCGACUUUGGGGAAUUGUUUAAUAAGGCGACUCCGCGGGUAUAAAGGACAAAGAAGAGGGGUUCGGAAGAUGAAAAGGUGCGGGGUUAUUAUUUUGACGAUUUUGCCCCUGACUGAAUUUUAUACUGCCACACUUGCACCACGUCAAUAAUAACAAGCCAAUCACAUUUCUUCAUUUCAAAUUAAAGUAUGAUAAAAAUAUUUUUUAUAAUUAUGAUUGGACAUAUAUUUUUAAAGAAGAUAUUUGAUUGGUGUUACGUUACGUCACUAAUAUAGCCGUUAUAUUCUAGAAUUUUUCGUGGAUUGGUGGGUGACUUGGCGCGGAAGCUUAUUACCGCUCAAUGAUGCAGCGGCUGCCGCUGCUGCUGAUAAGGGAUGGGCCGACGCCUGUGAUAAGCCCAUAAAUAAAGCAGGCUCGACCUAUAUUUUCAUUAGGGAUGCAAACGGAUCCGGGUUGGUGGAGCUCCCGUCCCGAUCCGCCCCGACGGGGAGAGUAAAUGGGAGAAAAUAAAUUGAUUCGGGGCAGAAAACGGGGCAAGUUUUACGAUCCGAGACGGAUUCGGGGCAGGAAACGGGAAAAUUUUUGACCCGCUCCGAAUCCGCCCCGAAUCCGUCCCGCCAUGAUCCGCCCCGAAUCCGCCCCAAAUAUCAUUUGCAUUUUUUAAAAAUAUUUCUAAAAAAUAAUAUAUUUACAAAAAAAGUUCAAAAUACAAAUAAGUUAUUACUCUCAUUUCUAAUGAAUUUGAAACAUUUGAAUUUUGUUUUGAAUUGUGAUUCAUAUUUUUAAUUUUUACCAUUAAUAUUGUUAAAUUAUAUAUAUAAUAUUAUUAAAAAUUAUUAUUUUAUAUUUUUUAAAAUAUUAAUAAUAUUAUAAUUUUAUAAAAAAUAUUAGUUGGCGGGGCGGAUUCGGGGCGCCGGCGGGAGGCGGGUUACGAGGCGGGGCGGAUUAUGGGAUGUAUUUUUUAACCCGUCACGGAUUCGGGGCGGGAGGCGGGGCGGAUUUUUGCUAGUCGGGGCGGGAGGCGGGGCGGGUCUCCCGCCCNGGCGGGUCUCCCGCCCCUAGAUCCGUCCCAUUUGCAUCCCUAAUUUUCAUCCUGCUGUACUGCCACAGAUAAGCCACAGGACUUUUCACUUUUCAUUUCCCAAUACAAGAAUCUUACAGUGAAAAAUAAAUAUUGCUAUGUGAGCCGUCCGGUUAUAUUUCAGUUCCGUAUUUUAAUGAGACAGUUUGUAUUCGACUCAUUUAAUAAAAAAUAAACACGAACUAGUCUAUCUCAUUCUUGUUCGACUCGUUGACGGCCCUAAAAUAUCCUAGUUGUGGUUUGCAUUUUUAAUUUGAUGAAGUCUAUGCGGCGAUCUUCAUUAAUUACAUGCUAAAACAUAGGCCAUUAUCUUUCCACCGGAGAGUCUAAUCACUAGAGAUUAUGUCCAGUUUCUCAAGUUGAAGGAUAUUUCUUAGGUAAUCGAGUAUAGUUUUAUCGAAGAUUUUAAGUGUCCGUCGGCACAGACCGUAUCCACCGUUCUGUACGGUAUGAUACAGACUCCGUACUGAUGGCACAGCUUAAGACCCUCUAUUUUUUAAAUUAGUAAGUAAUAUUCUCAAUAAAAUUCAAAAGAUAUGAUAAAAAAAAAUAAUAAAUAGUUAAAAUAUUUUAUUGCUAAAAAAAAUAAAUAUUUCAUACUAUUAUAUGUCGGCAUAUAAGAAUUUUUUGACCGACAUGCAUCGGCACGACUCGGCACGCACUAUACCAGUAAGUUUCCGACACGCCCCGUGCCACGGCACUUAAAUCUUUGGUUUUAUCUUAAAAAAAAAGCAGCUCAUUUGGAGUAUUUUAAUAGAAUGUUUUUUUGAACAAUUUUUUUCAUUUCUUUUAUGAGGAAAUUCAAAUAUGCAACACAAACAAACAAAAUUGCUAUAUAAUAACAAUUUCAAUUGAAAAUAUUAGUUUAUUAUAUUAUCUGAUGAAAUUUUAAAAAGUUUAAUUGUCAAAAUUAAAAAUUUGAACACUUAUUCAUCAAAGUGCUAAAAUUAAAAGAUUACUUUGUCACAACAAUUUAAGUAGCUCCAAAAUUGAUUCAAUUAAAUGAAGUAUUGAAGAAACAAACACAUUAUAAAAUUUAAGAAGUUAUUACUUACAAAAGGAGGUUUGAAAAAUGGAAAUGCUACCGACCGUUCCUAAAGUAAGUGGCAAAGGAUUUGGUGAUUACUUACAAAAGGAGGUUUGAAAAAUGGAAAUGCUACCAACCGUUCCUAAAGUAAGUGGCAAAGGAUUUGGUGAUUAGUAUUCGAGAUUCCAAGUUCGAAUUCUAAUUGAUUCACAUUUUCAGCUACGUUUAUUUCUAAAUAAAAUAAACGAAACGGAUAACGUGUUACCUAUCUCUCAAAAAAAGAAAAAGAAAAAUGGAAAUGCUCAAGGAUUAAGUAGAAGUAAAUACUUAUAAUGACAUAGUCCAAAGACUAGGUCCUCUAUUAGAAAAUUAAAAUUGCCAUCACUCUACGACAUAACGAUAGAUCUCACAUCAUAGUAGAAGGGUCAUUUUGAUUUUUCUUAUCUUUAUUAAUUAUGAAAAGGUUAAAAAAAAAAAAGUGUCUGUUCUUUUUUUUUUAUUAUAUAUUUUUCUCAUAUUUUGCAUACAUUUGUAUGUUUGUGGGGUUCUGACAACAGCUUAGCCUUUUCCCUUUCAAAUAAUUGGCUUUAGUUGUAGGUUGUUUGAUUCAAUUAUUAAUUUAUUAUAUCGCAUUUACUUAGCAUAAAGGUGAGAAAAGAAAAGGAGAAUAAAAAAUGUUAUGUAUAAUUUAAUACUUUUUUGAAAAAGUGUAUCAAUUCGAAAUUACUUCAAUUGGUGUUUUCUGAUAAUUUUUGAGAAAUUUUUACUUGGUAUAAGCUUAAAAUUAAAACAAUCAAAUUAGUGUGGACAAUUGAAUCAACUGAUUGGUCUCCAUCUUAAACAACAUUGUGGGUAAGCUCAUGUUGUUUGCUGCUGCUGAGCCCUAGAACAUGCUCUUUGGUUUUGAGGAAAGUAGCUAAAAAAAAAAAAAAAAACAAUGUAUGUUUUCAAAACUUUGGACUUAUGGUGUAAAGCCCCGUCCUGUCGCACAUUAAAGGUUAUGUGGGCGCAUGCACCGACCCGCCGAACUGUGUUAUUGACAAGGUCAGGACCGUUGACAACUAAAAAGGACCCUGACAGAACGGAUAUAACUUUUUCUAUCCAUCUAAGACGUAAACAAAAUCAAUAUAUUGAAUUUUACUCAAGAAAGACAACACAACACAAUUUUGUACGAGGGCAUAUCAUACAGAGCCGAUACUAUAUAUUAUUAUAAUAUUUCAAAAAUAUUAUAUUAUUUAAUAUUUGAAAUGAUAAUUUUUUUACUAACUAAUAAAACCACUUAAGUUAGGAGGCUAUUAAAAACUAAUAUAUUUUUAUGGGAAAACUUCAAAAACCCCCCCGUGGUUUCACACUUUUUCAUUUUAGUACCCUAUGGUUUAAGGUGUAUCAAGUUAGUACCUUGUGGCUUCUCAUUUUAUCACUUUAGUACCUUAUGGUUUAAAAUGUAUUAAGUUAGUACCUGUGGUUUUGCACUUUAUCACUUUAGUACCCUGUGGUUUCACACUAUAUCACUUUAGUACCCUGUGAUUUAAAAAACCACAGGGUACUAACUUGAUACAAAAUUAAAAACACAGGAUACUAAAGUGAUAAAGUGCAAAACCACAUGGUACUAACUUGAUACACUUUAAACCACAGGAUACUAAAGUGAUAAAGUGAGAAACCAUAGGGUACUAACUGGAUACAUUAUAAACCACAGGGUACUAAAGUGAAAAAAAUUGGAACCGCAAGGAAGGUUGGAAUGGCAAGGAAGGUUUUUAAAGUUUUUCCUAUUUUUAUUAGUACUAAUAAUUUUCAUCAAAUAUAAAAAUAAGAAUAUCUCCUGCCUCAUAAUAAGCUAGUAUAUAUUGCUACCUUCUAGUAAACUACAAUGAUUUUAUUACUUUAUAAUUAUCUUUUACAUCUACUCAACUUGAGUUGAAUAGUAAAUACUUGAACAUUUUCAAUACUAGAUAGGAAAAAUUAUCGAAGUCUUAUAAACCUUGAACCAAAUAACCCCUGUGAUUAUCUAAAGUUACUGAGUUAAAACAAAUUCAUGAAAAUCACAAAAAUCCUAUCUUAAUUGAUCCAGUUCAAUCUCGUGAUUUAUUGUUAUUUACAAACAUAAAUAAUGUAUUUUUCAACUAUUCUUUCUCACUGUACUUCAAAGACUGCCAUCUAAUACAUCUAAUCUAUCUAAUACAUACAUAUACUGUUGGGAAUCCGGUACUCGCCCCGUUAUCGGAUCUUGUGAAUCUGCAACCCGCUCUGAUACUGACUGCUGUGGAUCCGGUACCGAUUGUUGGAAUUCCGCAACGUAAUCGUCAAAUCGGAUUUUUCACAUAAACUUAUCUCUUCAGCAAAAACUGAUACAAUCACAAAAGAGAGAAAAAUUAAAACAAAAAAUAUGCGAGUAAAAUAAAAUUCAUUAAAUAAGAGAAGAUUACACCCGACUCUUCUUCUGCAUAGAAUAGCUACAACCCAAGCUCUCUUUCUGAAUCUUUUCUACCCUUCUCUCGUCUUCUAUAAAUCCACAAAAAGGACAACUCUCUUUUUUUUUCUCUUAUACGCACCCGUGCACAAGGUGCAUGCGCUUAACCUUAGACAAGACUCCCUCUCUCUCUUGUCUACCGUACGGCAAGGAGAUCACCUUGGCCGUACACCUCACAGCCUCAAUAGCCCUCUCCUAAUUAAUUCCUUAAUGCUAUAUAUAUAUAUAUAUAUAUAUAUAUAUAUAUAUAUAUAUAUAUAUAUAUAUAUAUAUAUAUAUAUAUAUAUAUAUAUAUAUAUAUAUAUAUAUANAUACGCACCCGUGCACAAGGUGCAUGCGCUUAACCUUAGACAAGACUCCCUCUCUCUCUUGUCUACCGUACGGCAAGGAGAUCACCUUGGCCGUACACCUCACAGCCUCAAUAGCCCUCUCCUAAUUAAUUCCUUAAUGCUAUAUAUAUAUAUAUAUAUAUAUAUAUAUAUAUAUAUAUAUAUAUAUAGAGCACCCACAUAAAGUGUACUCCAAUCCUAGUAUUAUUAGAAUUUUUACUCUAAUAAAUAUUUAAAUCUUAAUUAAUUUAUUUUUAGUAAAUUUAAAUAUUUAUUCUAAUCUAAUUAGAUUUAUCCUCUAAUUAAUAUUUAAAUCUUAAUUUAUUUUCAACAGAUUUAAAUAUUAAUUCCUAUCCAACUAGAAUUAAUCUAUAAAUCUAACUAUCUAUAUAAAUUAAUGAAUCCUCAGUUUAGAUGCAACGUGACAUCUUUGGGGAAAAGGGGAGGGAGCGGGCGGAGGCGGGGUUUCGGCUAGCUUUUUUUUUUUUUUUUCAUCUUCCUUUUUUUUUCUUUAUAAUUAAACCUAAUUAUUCUUUCUCAUUAUAAAAAUUUUAAAAUAUAUAAUAUUUUAUAUAUAAUUUUUAAAAAUAAUUUAGAUUAUAUAUAUUAAAUAUAAUGUAAUAUCCCUGGAGUUCAGUAUUUGAGACUUGUCGACAGCUUUGGAGAGUGUCAGGACAAGUCGGAGUCGUUUUGGAGCGAAAUAGAUGCCAAACUAACUCAGUACAACGCAAGAGCAGAGUUUGAUAUUGAAAUCUGCAAAGUGUAGGUUUCAAUAUUGAGUACCGGUGCGACAUCGGGCUGGUACUGGUACUCCAGCUGUAAAUGGAGUUGGUGAGGGCUAGGGAUGUCUUUUUGUUGUGGAUAGCCACACCACUACCUCUCUCUCGUAUUUAUCCACCUGAGGGUGAGUAGGUGGCUUAAUUAUGCUUCUCUCUCAAGUGUUAAUUAUAUGUUUGUGGAGGCCACGACGGGUUGAGCUUGGGCCAUCGUCAACGUCACGCCGCGGUGCCGUUCGAGCCUACGUUUGUCGUCGUAGCAUCGCGAGGAGGCCGGGCGAGGGUGUGUUACCAUCGUCCUCGACGUCGCACAGAUACUAGGAUCGCUGUCGAUGUGAGUGUGCCGUCAAAUUGCUUCUUUAUUUUCAAACUUCUUCAAUUCGAGCUAAUUGCUGAUUUGCAGAUUUCCAGCGUCGACUGUCGGCGUUUUGGCUCAUACUCGGCGUAGGAGCAUCGGAUUUGGAUGGGAUUUGGUUCGUUGGAUUCAGGACUUCGAGAGGAAUCCACGAAACCCUUAUUUGCUAGAUUUGGUAAAGGUUUGCUAGCUCGUAUCCCUAUUUCUUUCUGCUGUUGUUGCGUUGGGCAGAAUCGAGGUUUAUUGUGGGCUUCUAUGUUUAGACCCGUGGAGCGUGUUGUUGCUGGUUCGGGGAGCUGCGCCGAGCUUGACAGGGACUCCGGUGACCUUCUUCACCGUCGGGGAUUUGUGAUUAAGGUGGGUUUUCAUCGGAUUACUCCUAAGUACAUGAGUAAAUAUAUAGUCGGCAUGUAUACUUGUUGUUUGAUCUAUAAUGUGAUUAGAUUAAAUUCAUUUAUUAGCCGUGACUGUACUCUGAAUUUAAGCAUACUAAAUAAGUGUUAAUUAUAUAUGUUGGACUUGAGAAUUGAAUUAGGAGAAAAACCAACGAUUUGGACCUGUCACUUGUUUACACUACCUGAUUUAGCUCUAGGAGCCGUUGCAAUUUUGUAUCGUCGCAGUAUCUAGGCGACGGGUACUCCAGGUAGUUUAACUUUCAGUUACGCUCGUGCUAGAAUGCCGAGUGUAUUUUUACAGUAGCGUUCAGACUGUUUCGGACUGUUAGGUGCCGUCCGGGUUGACGGUGGACCCGUAUCGGCUUUUUGGCGUUGGAUUGUGCCGAGAGCACGUUACCUGUUGAUUGUUAGACCAGUUUGAGUCAGUCACUGGACUUUGGUUUUUGAGAGUCUGAUUGAGCUCGACAGAGAUACGCUGCAUACUCGGUUGAGUAGCUCCCACGAGUGCCACUCCGGAGUCGGGCGCUGUGCUUUCGCGUUGGUGUCGCUCAUGCCGGUUGGACUUGCUCUCCACGGACUAAUAGUGUAGAGAUAGCUGGAUAGUCACAACUGGGCAGGGACGGGUGUGUUCACAAUCCCAGGGACGGGUAGGCUUACAGUCCCGAUUGGAUUGGGUCAGAUUUGACAUUUCCUACAGUUGGUUAGUGUAGAGCAUGAUAGUGUAGUGAUUCAUAGCGGUAGAUUUUAUUCCUGCAUUUACUACUAUCUUUACUCCCUUCUGUAGACUUAGUGGGUCGACCGAUACUGUUGAGGGCGGCACCCACUGAGGACUACCUGUUUUUACAGUAGUUCUCACGCCGUGUUGUUACCCACUGUUUUUGCAGAGCCAUCGUCGUCGGCUGCUGCUGUCGCAGAUCAGGAUCGAGGCAAGGGCGUCACGAGUUAGAGCCCUACCAGACGUGCCGAGCUAGAGGUGCCCCUACUGCAGGUAAAUAUUUUGUUUUGAGUUCAUGUAUAUAGUAUACUUAACUCGCCAGUGCGAGUAGCUCUGUAUUUUUGGUUGUUGAACUAUGUAUAUGGAAUUCCGUUUGUUUAGCUUCUGUUUACUCUAACAGCUUUAUACUACUGUUUGUAGUAUUGUACGAUUUACAGGUACAGCUGUCGCUUCGUAUAUAGAAAAAAUUUCUUUGUAUACAGCGGAUUUGUCGGCGUGUCCGGGGAACGUGUAAUCCGGGGCGUGACAUAUAAAUUUUGAUUUCAUAAUAUUAAUCACUUAAAUAUAAAUUGUACAACAAAAAAAAGUGAUUAAUUAACUUAUUUUAAUUAAUGUCGUUGCGACAAUUGCACAGUUCAAUAACAUAUUUAUAGCCUAAUAAGCGAUCAACUCUACAUUCAAAAUUUUCUUGAAUACCCAAAAUAUAAUUGUUUAGCUUUUAAUUUUAACAACUAGGUAUUCUAAAAUUUGUUAGAUAGUUUAACAAUUUUUUUUUCGAAUGAAAUUAUUAAUUGAAUAAAACCGAUCGACGCUUUCGCCUGGAAUAAAAAUAAAAAAUCAAAAGAUAAAUUACACUUUUCGUCCUCAAAACUAUAAGACAAGUGAUAUUUUAGUUCUCGAACUUUAAUUUGUUAUGGUUUAAAUUAUAAAACAUGUGACAUUUCCGUAGGUCCUUAAAUUUGAAUUAGUUAUAAUUUCUAGCUUAAAAAAUAAGGUAUAUCAUUUUAGUCCUCAACAUUUAUUACUACUAUAAAUAUAAUUUAUUAUUCUUAUUAUUUUGCUCUUAUUUUUUUUUAAUUAUUCUUAUAUUUUUAUUACAACAGUAGUUGUUUAAUUCUUCUUCAAUUAUUUUUUUAAUAAAUCCUUAGACUCUUUUUUUAUGCUAUUUUAUUAUUUAAUUUUAUUUAUUUAUUUAUUUUAUGAAAUGGAUCCGCUGCAACGUCCGGUACUUUCACUAGUACAUAUUAUAAAUCCUUAGUUGAAUCCAUGUGGCACAACCAUAGUGGUGGGAAUGAGGUGGGCCCAGCUCAAUUUUUUUUUUGUUUUUAUUUUUUUUCUUGAUUUCUUUCUCUCUUCUAAUUUGGACUAGAGUAUUGGAUUAUUUUUUUUAAUCCAACCCAAUUCUUCUCUCUCAUUAUAAAAGUUUAAAACAUAUAAUUAUUUUACACAUAACUUUUAAAUAGUUUAGUUUCAUAUAUUACCUAUAAAUUUUAGUAAUAUUAAUCACUUAGAUAUGAAUUGUAUAAUAAAAAUUAAAAGGGAGAUUGUAAAGUUAAUUAUUUAUUUUAAUAAAUUUAGUUGUGAAAAUUGUAUAGAGUAUAUAUUAAUUAAAUCUGUAAAACCAAAUAGUGCAUUCAAAUUUUGAUAUCAAAGUAUCAUUUACUUACUCAAAUUUAACAUAUUGAUAGAUUGGAUAGUAAAAAUAAAUUUUGAAAUGUUGGAUAACUAAUUCAAAAUGAUUCAUAAUUCAAAGAAGUUCUAUAUAUUUUUUACUUUGAUAUCAAACUUCAAUAUCAUAUUUAUAAUUUAAUGUACCAUUAACUUUAUUUUUUAAAAUUUUUGAAAAUAUACAAAAUAUGAUUGGUUAAUUUAUAAUUUUAACGAGUAAGCCUCCUAAAAUUUAUUAGAUAGUUUUACUGAUUUUUUUUGAAUGAAAUUACUAAUUGAAUAAAAUCGAUAGAUGCCCAACUCUAUCUUCGUCUGGAAUAAAAAUGAAACAUAAAAUGGUAAAUAACGCUUUUGGUCCUCAAACUAUAAGACACGUGGUACUUUAUUGCUCCAACUUUAAUAUGUUACAAUUUCUGACUCAAACUACGAGACACGCAACACUUUAAUCCUCAAAUUCUAAUUCAUUAUAAUUUCUGAAUCAAAGUGUACAUGCGUGUCGCCUCGUCGAGCCGCAGGCGAGCUGCAGGUUCAAGCCGUCACCUGCGCGUCGCCUCGUCGAGCCGCAGGCGAGCUGCAGGUUCAAGCCGUCACCUGCGCGUCGCCUCGUCGAGCCGCAGGAUCAUCUACAAAUCCGACCCAACUCCUCCACCAUGUAACCCUCCAUCCCUCUUCGUGCCCUAAUUUUCUAAUCUAUUUUUUCCUGUUUUUUUUUCAAUUGUUCUUUUUCUCUUUAAAUUAACUGGAGAAUCAUCCCACCAUCCAGAUCUACCAGGUGUCAUCGUCGCGGUGGAAAUCGCUGAGAAAUCGCUGAAGAAUCGUAGGUUGUAGAACUGGGGUAGUAAAAAUUACUAAAUCAUUCUACUCUUUAAUAUUUCGCCUCGUUUUUUAUUUUUUUUCUAAUAUUUAAACGUGAAUAAAUGUAGGUCGGGUGGUGAACGAAAAGGGGCUUUUGCCACAGCAACGUGAGAAUCCAAUUAUUCGGUUUUAUUUUAUUCUAUUUUAUUUUUUCUGGUUUCAUAAUUGCUGAAGCAGUUUUUACUAACUAGUAGAAAUAUAUGGCUAAUAAUAAAUAAUAUUCGACCAUCAAAUUUCAAAUUUGUAUAUAUAAGAUUGCUUGACAAUUUUACACAUUAAUAUGUAGCUAAAAUUUUGCAAUCAAUUUGUUUGCUUUAGUAUUGAGAACCACCGUCGAGGUUGACCCACUUGGAGACGGGGACCGCCGCUAGGCCCAGCAGCGCCGGCUCCUUGGCCCCAACUGGUCCUCAACUUGUCCCCUACUUCGACUUCACCUGGAGCGAGGUGAGUUGGAACUUUAAAUGUGGUCUCUCGUGUUUCAAAUGCACUUUGGAUUCUUAUGGCUUUUCAGAGAUCAUAGAUCUUACUCCAUCUUAGCUCCACAAGUGGAAGUGUGAUUUGAGUUGCUUUGAUUCUGAACCCAAAUAGAAUAGGAAAGGAUUUGAUCCCCAUGUUUAAAUGUUCUCUGGUCUAUUUGGUAAUUUAUUGCUUCGAAUUUAAAGGCAUGAGGAGUAGGUUAUUAAUGAUAGUUGCUCUUGCUAUUUGAAAUAGGCAAAGGUCCAAACUUUCUUAUAAAAAAGUUUGCUAUUUGAAAUAGGCAAAGGUCUAGUUGCUCUUGCUUCGAAUUUAAAUAAUUAUUUAUUUAUUUUUAUAAAAUUAAUCCGCUGUAAUACGCGAAUGCCUUCAGCAGUGCUUGUUCGUUACGUAGGAGUAAAUUUUCCACUGUCAAUUGCAUUUGGGGUUCUAGAAGGUUCGUAUAGUCGCAAUAUAUUUUAAUGCAUUUCGCUUUCAAAAUAUAUAACCCACUAUUAGUGGUGGGGAAAAGGAUAAAACGUCGAGUCAUCUCAACAGAAAGCAUGUGGACGGUGGAUCACACGCUCUCAUAAAAGAGAAGUGCUUCUAGAAACAUGGUUUUCAAAAUGGACCAAACUUUCUUAUAAAAAAGUUUUUUUUUCACCACCCAUUCUCGUUUCGCCUAACGUUUUUAAAGCUGUGACAGCUCCACUCCUCUAGAUAUGAUUUUUUUAAAAUUUUUUUUCAUUGAAAAUUAUGAUAAACUUCAAAUACCAUCUUCUUGAUUUUACACUUUCUCACUUUAAUAUCAUGUGGUUUAAAGUGUAUUAAGUUAGUGUCCUUUGAUUUUAUUUUUAUCUUUUUAUCAGUUUUUUCGUUAAUAUUUUGUUAAAUUAUAUACAAAAAACUUUAAAUUCUAUCUAGAUUUAUCAAAUAUUCAUUUUAAUAUCUUUUUGUGAGAUACUGAACCUUGACAAAUUAGCAAGAUUACAGUAUAAGUUAUGCUUGAUUGAGCUCGAGACGUUUUGCACAAAAUAGACGUAAAAAACGGACUUUGAAACUCAAGUUUCAAAGUAGAGGACUAAAGUUGAAUAUCGUAGUAGGUGAGGGGCUUUUGGAUAAUUGUCGCCUUUCAAUCUUAUCCCACCGCCUUAAUUAGGAUAAGGUGGCAGGUGGAGAGCUCGAGCUCGGGAGGUUUUCGUCGUCGACGUCGCGCCGUGGUGCCGUUCAAGCAUACGUUUGUCGUCGUAGCAUUGUGAGGAGAUCGGGCGAGGGUGUGAUUCCGCCGUUCUCGAUGUCGCGCCGGGUUGAAUUUAGCUACCAAGGUGGGUUUAUCAUCGGAAUCCUACUCCUAUAAUAUUGUUGGUCGACAUGUAUCAUUAAUAUUACAAGUUGUUAUUGUUUAGCUCAAAUUCACGAGUUGGUAUGUUGUAGACAUAUAAACUAAAUUGGUGGCAUAUUAUUAGUUGUUAUUAAUUAUACAUAUUGGACUUGGAUAAAACAUAGGAGAAAACCAGUGUUCGGGACCUGGCAUAUGUUAAACUACCUUAUUUAGCCCUAGGGGCCGUUGUAUUUUUAUACUGUUGCAGUAUCCUCAUAGUGAGUAUCCCAGAUAGUUUAGAUUUCAGUUAUGCUCGUGCUGGGAUGCCGAGGCGAUUUUUACAGUAGUGUUUACAGAUUUCGGAUUAGUGGGUGCCGUAGUGGUUGACGGCGGACCCGGAUUUGAUCGUUCCGAUAUCAGAUUGUGCCGAGGGUAUGUGACUAGUGGUUGGUAGUACGUACUGUUAGACCUACUUUCUUGACUUUAGCCUGUGAGAGCCUGAUUGAGCUCGAUAGAGAUACGAUUACAUACUCGGUUGGGUCGCGCCCAUGAGUGCCGCUCCGGAGUCUGGUUUUGUGCUUUCGCGUUGAUGUCACUGAUUAGUUGCUAUCCACGGACUAUUUAGCGUGGUGGUAGCGCGGCUUAGACAAGCGGGACGGAUGCGUACACAGUCCCUAAUGAGAUUUGGUUAAAAGUGACAGUAGACACAGUUGGAUAGUGUAGUGGCAUGUAGCUGUGGAUUUCUUUCCGGGUUUACCUUUUAGCCUUGUUUCCUACUGUAGUCUUAGUGGGUGAGCCGAUGAUUUUGAGGGCGGUACCCACUAAGGACUACUUGUUUUAUAGUAGUUCUCACGCCCAGUUGUUACCACUGUUUUGCAGAGCCAUCGUCUUCGGCUGCUGCUGCUGUUGCUGAUUCAGAGCGAGAUAAGGGCGUCGCUAGUUAGAGCCCUACCAGUCGAGUUGCUGUAAUAGAAGAGCACCUGUUGCAGGUAAUAGUAUUUUGUUAUUUUGAGUUCAUGUACAUACCCGAAUUGUAACUCGCUGGAGCGAGUACUUUUAUACUUGGUUAUUUUGUAUGUAUAUGAGACUUGUUUUAUUCUACCUGUUUAAUUUCAUUACAGCUCUAUACUACUGGUUGUGGUAUUGUAUGUUUUACAGUUACCAUUACGUUUCGUAUACAAGAAAAAUUCUUUAUAUACGACGGAUUUGUCGGCGUGCCCGGAGAACGUGUAAUCCGGGGCGUGACACUUUUAGUUUUAACUUUGUCACUGAUUUAACGAAAAAAAUUAGUGGAAUCGAUAAUAAAAAGAUAAAAAUCAUGAAACCAUAAAACACUAAAUUGAUAACAUGUUAAAUCAUAGGGUACUAAAGUGAGAAAGUGUGAAACCGCAAAGAUGAUAUUUAAAAUUUUUCCUAAAAAUUAGAAUAACUUCACCAAUAAUCUUCUAAAAAAUUAUUAUUUUAUAAAAUACCCUUCCAAAGUUGAAAAUAUCAUUAAUACCUUUAUAAAGGCCAAAAAUAUUCGUUAGGAAAAUAAUCUGUCAAAAUACAUCAUCUGUUAUUUUUAAAAUAUUAUUUUGCACCUGAUAUCAAUUUUAAAAAGUGUGAAAUUUAAAGUUAGUAAGAUGAUUAGUUUUAAAAAUUUGAACUGUAUAUUAACUCAAAUUUACUCUUUAAAAUUUUUAUUAAAUAUUUAUAGUUUAUUAAAUAUAAUAUUUAGGUUUUUUUAUUUUUUGCUAUUAAAUUAUAUAUAUACUUGUCAAUAUUAGCAUUCAAUGUUAACAAAAGAAUUAAUAAAUUUUUAAUUCUAUGUAAAUAUCUUACAAACAUGGCAGAAAAAAAAUUUUGAUUGCCAAAAUUCUUAGUAGUAAAGUGUUUCUCAUGUGGCAUUUAUGUAAAAAAUCCAUCUUCUACAAUAAAGUAAAAAUAUGUAAAAUUCCUUUCAUCUAUAGGCCAUUUUGCACGACCCUUUUAAUUUUACCUGAUGAANCGAAUCGACGAUCGGCUCCGUUAGACUUGAUCUAGUGUAUUUGAAGUAUUUAGAAAAUAAAUUUUGCGAUUUUUCGAUAUCAUUUAUCUAACAAUCGAAAGUGUUCAAAAUCAACGGCUGAAAAUAAAUAUCUCACAAAAAGUGAUAAUAUAGCACUAAAAUUUUCAAUCAGAGAUAUUGAUCUUGUUGUGAAUAAUAUAAAAAAUUUUCUAUCAAAAUUUUAUCUGAUUUAAAUAUUUCUAUAUCAUUAAACUUGCAAACGGUAUACAUCAACCAUUAAAAAUUAUUGAUUCUGAACCUUUUUGAUUGCUAGGUAAAUGAUAUCGAAAAAUCACAAAAUUUAUUUUCUAAAUACUUCAAAUACGCUAGAUCAAGACUAACGGAGCCGAUCGUCAAUUCGAAAACUCUAUCAUUGAAAAGGGCUUAGAAGUACAAAGGCCUCCGUGCUCCUAAUAGCACAUAAGAUCUACUAUAUAUAUAACUGAUCAUCCCUAGCGCAAGUGGCAAAGGGCUUGGUGGUUGGUAUUCGAGGUCCGAAGUUCGAAUCCUAGUUGAUUCACAUUUUUAGCUAAGUUUAUUUUUAAAUGAAAUAAACGAAGCGGGUAGCAUGCUACCUAUCUCUCCCGAAAAAAAAAAAAAAAAUCUACUAUAUAUACUACUAUAUAUAUAUAUAGAGAGAGAGAGAGAGAGAGAGAGAGAGAGAGAGAGAAAGUUGGGUUGGAAUACUAUUGAUAGUAUUUGCUCCAUUUUACUAUCAAAUUUUUAUCCUUUGGAUGAGAAAUUGUAGGAUUAGUAUGAUAUUAGUCUUUUAGGAUUGAUUGAGUGAUCCUUCUAGGGUUGAGUGGUCAUCACUAGGCUAUAAUAUUUAAUCAAAUGAUUAGAAAUGAUCAAAGAAAUUGAUCUAAAAGUUAAAAACUUGAUAGCAAAAUGAGACAAAUACUAUUAAUAUUAUUCUAGCCCAACUCUCUCUCUCUCUCUCUAUAUAUAUAAUGUAAAAUAAUUUCGGGUUAGGAUUGUGUUCGGAGUCAAAUCAGGUACAAUCAAAAUCCAUACUUGAAUUUAAUUUCGUUGGAUUUUUAUUUUUUUAAUCUAUAUCUGAAACUAUAUCUAUUUAGUAUCGAAUAAAUUCACUCUGUUCGAAUUCAGAUUCGGAUAAAAUUUCGAAUAUCCAUAUGCAUCGACAUUCCUACCUCUCUCUCCUUACCCUUUCCUCUCCCUUCACCUUCCCUCAUCCUCCCCAAUCUGUUGACGACCUCCUUGUCACCGCCUUGCCAAUGCCAUGGAUAGCUACGACCUACGACCAUCCUAUCAUCCUCCGCCUUCUUUUUCCCUUUUUUUGUUCUUCUUUCUUUUACGUUCUUUCUUCAUUAAAGAAAAUUUUGUUUCUUCCUUUCGUUUUCUUCUCAGUUCUUUCUUCAUCAAGCAAAUAUUGCGCCAUUUGAAACUAUAUUAUAAUAUUUGAUAAGUUGUUGCAUAAUUUGAGGAGACGAAGGUUUGGAAGGCUUUGUUGGGAAGAUAGUGCUUGAGUGAAGUAGUGGGUACAAUAUUAGGUUAGCAAUGUGGGCGCCUGUUUGAGUCUCCUGGUGGAAUUGUAGCUUCCUUUUAAAGUACUCACUGUAACAUACUUAGAUAAUUAAGAUGUUUUCUAAUGUAGCACUAAACGAAAAGGUAGUAGUGGGCACACUAUUAAGAUCAAGAUAGUGCUUGAGAGUUACACUAUUAGGUAGAUAGUCACCACUACAAAUACAAAACGUCGUUCUCUACCGAUCUAAACUUUUAACAACGGCCGUUUCGUACUAUUUAGUAUAACGUCAGAGAUAAACAUUAUGAGUUCGAGCCACGCCACACUUCGAAUAUAGUUAAUUUUUUUCUAUUUAAUUUAAGCUCACGCUAUGGGUUUAUCAGAAUGUUUUAAACCAAGACGUGAAGAGAAGUUUUAAAUAAUAAAAAUAUUAUUUUUCUAACAAUUUUUUACAAUUAAAAUGGGCUUAUGUGCUUUAAUUAUUGAGUGGCCCUCCCUCCCUCAAUUGAGUGAAAUAACUUUUAAGUUAAAAUAAACAAAAAAUUGAGAUGGUGCCAAUCGAAUUUAAAAAGGAAACUCAUUGUGGAGAGCCCAACUAAGGCCUAUUGGGCCCAAUCAACUACAUAGCCCACAUAAAAUAAUGUUCCCCGCACUUCCUCGUCCGCUUGACCCUGUUUGGAUACAUGUCCAUCUUAUUCGGUAAUGUCACUCUUCGACUUUAUAAACAUUUGUAUUUAGGAGGUGAAAAGUGUGAGCAAAUGUCUAUAACAAAUAUCAUAUUCACAUUAGAUUUAUGUUUUUAAGAAUAAGAUAAAUCAUCUUAUUAAGUGAAAUACAUCAUUUUAUGAAAUUAUAGGUAAAAAUACCUCUCAAAGUUUAAAAAAAAAAAAAAGUUAUUGAUGUCGUGCUUGCUUUUUUAUUUUUUAAAUAAAUUUUGUACAUAAAAAGGUGUAGCAGUGGACAUAAAAGUAUAGAUUGUUUGUAAUCCUUCGUUUCAGAUGUUUAUUUGAGAAUAAAAAAGAAAACGUGGAAACAACUUUUCCUUACUUCUCACUUUUUUUUUUUUUGAACAAGUUUGUCGUUGCAUUGUAAGCUAACCGAUUAUAACAACAUAAGAAAAAUAUUUCAUCCAACAUAUUAAAUUUUAUAAAACUAGUGUUUAAAAAUUUUUAAAAAUAGCAACGAUACAAGAGGAGAUCUAAAUUCCUGAUUUCCAAUCAUACAAAAAUAUCUUGAGUUAAUUUCUUCAAUACCCUCCAGAAAGGUUGUGAUUUUAUAAAUACCCCUUCAAAUUGUAAAAUAUCAUUGGUAUCCUCAUCCUUAUAUGCAUUAAAACAUAUGUAGGGUUAGGGGUGUAAUGUGGGCCGUGCCGGGCUGGCACGGCCCACGGCCCAAUUUUUCUAUCCUCUGGCCCGACACGGCCCUUUGGCCCGGAAGGCACGGGCCGUGUCAGGCUGGGCCGUGCUUCGGGCCGGCCUACAAAGUAUUUAUUUUUUAAAAUUUUUUAAAAAAUUUAGUAUGAAAUUUAAAAAUAUAAACAAUAAAUAUUUUUAUUUAAAUUAAUAUUUUGAUUAAAACAUUAAAAAAUUAUAAAAAUAAUUAUACUAAAGUAAAUAUUUAUUUUUUUAAAAAAAUAAAUAAAUUUGUAUUAUUUAUUUUAAAUAAAUAUAUUAUAGACUUUUGGUCCAAUGCACCAAAAAGUCUUUGGUCCAUUGGACCAAAAGUCCUCCUCAGACCUUGGGAGGAGAGCUCCUGGGGAGGGCCGAGCUCUUCUCCCCAGGAGCUCAGAUCCCAUGGCCCAAGGCAAUUGCCUUCGGCCAUGGGGUGCGGGCCGGGCUGGCCCGGCUGGCACGGCCCAAGCCGGCCAUGUCGUGCCGGGCCGCCCGCCUACCCUCGACCCGGUACGGCCCAGGCCCGAUUCGGCCCGUCGGACUCCAAAAUGGUGGCCCAGCACUGCCCAGGGCUUCGUGCCGGCCCAGCCCGGCACGGAUACUACACUACCCGUGUCAUGCUGUGGCCCGGCCCGAGGCCGUGCCGGGCCGGGUGGCCCACGUGCCGCCCGGCCCGUUUUACAUUCCUAUGUAGGGUUUAAACUUCAGGUUUGGAGUUUAGAAUGUUGUUUGUGAUAGAUUUAUAUAAUUAGAAGAGUACGAAUGAUAAAAUUAUAUGAUUAGAGGGGUAAAAGUGAUAUUUGGAUUUUGAAGGGACAUAUAUAAUAUUUUGAGAGUCCAGGGAUACUAUCGAUAUCACUAAAAUAAGUGCUUAGCGCUAUCAAAUUUUCUGCCGUUAGAUUUAUUCCUUUCAGCAUUUAUAUCCAUUAUAUCACACUAUUCAACCAACCACCCACUUAACUCUAGAAAACCACUAUCAACCUAAUUGGAAAUCACCAUCAUCCUAACCAUAUACUUUUUCAUUCAAAGGCCAAAAUCUAAUAGUGUCGAUGACUUAGUGCGAUUAAUAGUAUUCUAGCCAAAUUCAAUAUUUUGAAGUGUAAAAGGAUUAUGUUUUAAUAUCUUCGGUUAAUUUGAUUAAUACCCUCCAGAAAAAGGUCUUCAUAGUUCUAGGGGUAAAACAUUUCGAAUACUGUGGGAUUUUUGAUAGAACCAUAUUCGCAUCCCUAUUGUUCUUUGAAUGUGAAUUUUCAUUACCAUAUAUCCGCUAAAACCAUAUUCAGAUUUGGAUAUGGAUCAGUUUAUAUUUGAAUGUUAUUUAAUAAUAGUAUAAAUAUAAAUACAAUUAUAAUAUGAAAAUCAUAAUAAAAUAAAUAAAAAAUAUAAUAAAAAAUUACUUUAUCUUCCAACAAAUCAUAUGAUACUAAAGUGAAUAUUCAAUAAACCAUAUGGGGCAUCUGAAGUUUUUUUUUCUAUAUAUUUUAAUAGAGAGUUAACGGAGAGAAUAAUAAAAAAAAAGAAAAAAAAAAACACAGGAGUAUUAAAGUUAUAUACUUUAAACCAUGAAAUAUUAAAAUAAAAAAAAGCUAAAUCACAAGAAAGAUAUUUGGAACAUUUUUAAAUUUUAACAUUUAUAUUUACAUUCUAUCGAAUCCUCCAUUGAAUUCGAGCAGAGUUUACCCCAGCCACUUUCACCGCUCCAUUACCGUUCAGGGGCUAUUUGGAUACGCAGUAAAAAAAUUUCAGAGAGUUUAAAUAUCAUAAUUUUGGUCCAAUUGAAAUCGAGAAUCUUAUAACUCGAAAAAAAUUUUAAGAAUUUAUUUUAAAAACCGUUUGGAUACCCAUUAUACAAUUCAACGGGAAGAGGAGUUGGGCCCAAAAAAAGGCCCAAGCCCAAGUCCCCUUCAAAUUGCGCUUCGGUUUUUCUCAGUUUUCGAGAAACCCCAUUAGCGCCGCGGGGGAGGCGAAACUGCGUUUGGGAACGCGCUUCCGCGGCAGCAGCGGCGAUGACGACGCGCAUCGCCCCCGGCGUGGGCGCGAACCUCCUCGGCCAACACUCCGCCGAGCGCAACCAAGACGCCACCACCUACGUCGGCAACCUCGACCCCCAGGUUCUAGGGUUUCCCCCACUUUCUCUUUUUUUUUUUUCUUUUUUUUUUUUUUUUAUAGCAUUUCUAUCCUUUAUUAUGCGGAUUGUUUUACAAUUUUAACUGAUAAUUCGUCAUUUUUUUUUGGUGGAUUAUUCGGUAACCUCCCAUUGUUGCAAUUAGGGCUUGUUAGGGUUUUUGGUGAUGUGAUGGGGUAGGUUCUGGUACAAUUUUGAGAUCGUUCCUAAAUCUAAUCGUUCUACUAUGUUUACGGGGCUUUUAUUAGGGUUUAGUGUUUGGAUUUAGAAGCUGCUAGGAUUCUUAGGAUUAUUAGCACUUAUUUUUUAUCUGAUAGAUUUGUCAUUUCUUUCUUGAUUAUGUCGCAAUUUUUCAUUAUUGUAAUUUGGGUUUUAUGAGUUGGAUUUUUUUUUUCCCCUCCCCCCGGUGAUGUUGGGGUAGGGUUUGGUUACAGUUUUGCUAUAGUUUGUUAAUCUAAUCGUUCUACUAUGUUUAUGACGUUUAGGGUUUAGGGUUUAGAUUUGGGAACUAUUAGGCUUCUUGGGAUGAUCACUGUAGUUUUUUUUUUUUUUUUUUUUUUUUUUUUUUUGCGGAAAUUUUUCGAUGUAGGAGCUGCAUACGGAAGUAAGGUUUGAAGCAGUUUUUAUACUUUGAAUUAUAUGCAAAUGUUAUUUUUAGGUUGGAAUGUAUGUAUGUAUGUAUGUAGACCACCUCAACUCUAGGGCAUUUUGAAAAAGUCCCAUGAAUUUUCUUAUUUAUGAUUGACACUCCCUUAGUUCUCAUCUUUGUUAAUCGAAUUGGGGAAUGAGAAUAAUGGUUACGACAAUUGUAAAAAUGUUGAUGAGAGGGCAUAGAAGAAAGAAAUAAGGGGGAAACGUAUAUAUCCAAAUAUAUCCAAAUUUUUCUGAAUGAAUUUCUUAUAUUGAACCUUCUUUUCAAUCUCUUUGAGUGGACCCUUCUCUUAUUUCAGGUAUAUAUACUUUAGUUGUAAGGAUCUUUGAAUAAUUUUUCACAAAUAACUUUAUUUUCUUCUGGAGUAUCUUUAUUUCUUUGAGUGGUUUUUCACGUAACCAUUGUCUCUCUCAAGUAAAUUCCACUCUGAGAAACCAUGUAUUUGCUCUUCUUUAUUUUGUAUGUCAAAAAAUUUUCGGGCGUUUCAUCGUUCUUGUUUGGAUUAUGUCGAUGUUCAUUUUCUAGGUUUCAGAGGAGCUUCUCUGGGAGUUGUUUGUUCAAGCAGGUCCUGUUGGUAAGUUGCAAAUCGCCUUUUCGUUUGUCCUUUACUGAGAUCGUUAUAUUCUCUGGGAAGAUAUUGUCCCUCCAGCACAUUAGAGGGCACGUUUUCUCUGGUAAUGUCUAGAAGGGCAAUAUCUCUCGACCACAAGGCAAUAUUUGCCGAUUCUGAGUCUAGAAGAACAAUAUUCUCUGUAUUUUGAUUAUUAAUAUUUCUUUGCAGUCAAUGUUUAUGUCCCGAAAGAUAGAGUUACAAAUCUACACCAAGGAUAUGGAUUUGUGGAGUUCCGUAGUGAGGAAGAUGCUGAUUAUGUAAGUAUCAAAAUUUCUGUGCAAGGCUAAUUGGUUUUCAAUGUUCAUCAUAUCAUUAGAUUUGAUUUGUAGUAACUGGUUUAAUUGAUGGUGCGAAUGUUGCAGGCUAUUAAGAUUUUGAACAUGAUUAAAAUAUAUGGGAAGCCAAUCAGGGUAAAUAAGGUGUGUAUGGUUUCACUUUCAUCAAUACAUAUCAAAUACUUGUACUUUCAAUAUUCUUCUUUGGAGCUCUGCACAAACAAGUUGUAAUCAUGUUCACCGGUGUGCGGGACUAUUUUCAGCAUAGUUUAUACUAGAAUUCACUUCUUUUUUUCUUUUUUUUUUCUUGUUUCAGGCUUCCCAAGACAAGAAGAGCUUGGAUGUGGGUGCAAACCUUUUUGUUGGUAAUCUUGAUCCGGUAAAUAUUUCCUUUUCAAGAAAAUUGUUCUGUUGGUAAUCUUGAUUCGAUAAAUUUCUCUUUUCAAGAAGUUCAUUCAUUCACGCAUAGACAUGUUGCUGAUUGUUUUUCCUUUGGUAUUCUAAUUGCAGGAUGUGGAUGAAAAACUUCUCUAUGAUACCUUCAGUGCUUUUGGAGUAAUUGUAACAAAUCCCAAGGUGACAUACUCCACUUUUUUUUACUGUCAUUUUGGCUUUUUAUAAUACACUGAUAGUAAUAUGAUAUUAGUUAUGAGUUAUUUGAACUUUUGGUUUAUUAGUUUUUCUAUUAUACAUUUUUUGUGCAAUUUAGUGCAUAAAUUAAUGAUAUCCCUCUUGUCCUUUUGCAGAUAAUGAGAGAUCCCGAAACUGGAAAUUCUCGAGGUUUUGGUUUUGUUAGUUAUGAUUCCUUUGAUGCAUCUGACGCAGCAAUAGAGGUAUUUUUCAUUGAUCUAGAUAUUGUGUAAAUAGAUUUGUGAACUGCUUUAGUGUUCUGCAAUUACUGAUGCUCUCUAGCUUAUAUAUUCUGAUUCUAAUUAAUUUCAUUUCCCUUUGUAUCUGAAAAUCUGUGUAUAGGCGAUGAACGGACAAUAUCUCUGUAAUCGUCAAAUCACCGUCUCUUACGCAUAUAAGAAAGAUACAAAAGGAGAACGUCACGGCACUCCUGCAGGUAUGUCACUGCCUAAGAGUUCUUCCUUGCAAAGCCGAUAAUAUCUUUUCAACCUCCUGAUUUAUUGUUAAAUUUUCAAGAUGGAGUGGAUCAGUUUAUGAGAUUAGAUUUAGGUGCUUUACCGAUGCUGAUCUCUACGAUUCACCAUCCUGUACAUUUCUGUGCACAAGAAUUCUAAUGGGGCAAAAUCAUAUUUUGCACGUCCUCCGUCCUUUGCAAUGAAGUUAAUAAUGUGCAAUGCCGUAAUACCCCUGGAUUGAUCUCUAGGAUCUCCUGUGUACUUGUAUAUACAAUUGUGAUUUCCUGUGGAAGAAUGAUUCCGGUGUGCUUGCCUUUUGGCAUACUGGAUCAUGCCGACAUCCUAUAUGGGCUAUCUGCCUUGUUUGGAAAUGGUAUUUAGCAUCCUUUUUAUUUAUUUAGGAUCACUCAACUUCUAUGUUUGAAAAUGCAAGUGCAAUGAAAUAGCAUACGGUCAUUUUAACUGUAGCUAAUAGAAGCUUUGCUGGAGAAAAUAAGUUGUUGCAUGUCAACUAUUGCUUAAGUAGCUUCUGAGUAUCCUUAUAAAAUAGCUUUGUCUUAGAUAGAUACUUCGGCCAGGGGUCCAGGGUAUUGCUUGGGAUAUUCAACUUGACUGUGAAGUGUGGGGAAUACUGUACACGCUCUCCUGAUCUAGUGUAGAUUGAUCACAUAUCUGACUUGUAUAACUAAUUUAUUUUCUUCCACCUGAAAUAUGCAGAGCGAGUUCUGGCAGCAAGCAAUCCAGGCGCUCAGAAGAAUCGUCCUCACACCUUGUUUGCAAGUGGUCCACCAACACUUCCUAAUGGCCCGCCAGUGAAUGGUGCCGUUGGUGCACCGAUCCCUCGGCCAUUCGCCAAUGGCCCAAUUCCGGCAGCUCAGGUGCCAUCAGUUCGUCCACCGCCGCCACCGAUCGGGCAGUUUCCCCCUCCAGUUCAGAUGGCGCCUCCACCAUCUUGGCCUGCUCAGCCACCACCUGGCCAAAAUUUUCAUCCAUCGGCCAUUCCGCCGCCCAUGCAAUUCAGGCCUCCACACAGCAUGCCGCCACCGCCUCCACCUGCGGGUAUGGUAAGGCAGGCACCGCCUCCACCCGCCGGAAUGUUGAGGAUGCCGCCUCCGCCUUCCGGAGCAGGUGUUCUGCCUCCACAUAUGUGGCGACCGCCCCCACCGCCACAACAAGCCGGUGGUAUGCCACCUCAAAUGUCGAUGCAGCCUCCACCUCCCCCACAUUCCGCAGGAUGAGUUCUGUUGAAUACUCUUCAAUUGAUAUUGCCGGUGAAUCUCGUUGCUUGGAGGUAGAAAUUGGAGGAGGAUCUGAGAACGCAUUUCCGUUUCGAUUUUUUUUUUUUGACGUACUUCGGUACCUAACGGUUUUAAUUAAGAAUCUUGUCGACUAACUUCGAUUGCCAGGCAAUCCAAGAAACGGAUGCAGCUUUCUCCGUAUUAUACCAUCCCAGACUUGAUGAAGAUGGUUGUAGAGUAAAUGGUUCCUUGCGGAUUCUCCUCUACUGUUUAGUGCCCUGUAUGACUUACUAGUAAGAACUCGUUGUAGUAUCUCUGGUUUUAUCUGUGGUCCCAACUUAGAUUCUUUCGUGUCGCUUCCGGUGGAACUCUUUGGCUUCCUGGAACUUCUUUUGAGUAGUACGUUUGCCUCAGAUGUAUAAUAAUCGCUCUGAUUAAAUGUUGCAGCCUUAUGUUGUGGAAACAAUGAAAACAUGAUUUAAAUCAUUUUUACUAAGUUAAAUGCGCGUAGUCCCGAAAGUUUGUACGUAGAAAAUCCAUGUUCUGCAUUGUUGUUGAUGAUAUUGACAUUGAUUUUUAUUUGUGCUCAAACUCUUCAUUGAAAGAUUGCCGAAGGCUUGUAGUCUAGUACAUGUACUAGUAAUUUACUAUCAAAGCAUGGACAUGACAAACCCUAUUAAUUAAUUCAUGGUAUCUUAAUAUAUCUAUUAGGGGUCCUUUGUUCAAAGUUUGUCAUAUUUCAAAAAUAUUGUAAAUUAUAUAUUUGAAAUGACUAGUUUAUUACUAACUUAAAUAAACUAUUUAUAAUUCUCAUUAAGUAUGAAAAUGAAAAUAUAUUUUAAUUCAUGAUAAUUUUAUAUUCCUAUCAUGCAGAAAUUUUUAAGGAUUUCGCUACACUUAUAUGUUGGAUAACUCUCCAACUUGAGUCCAAUAAUACGAUAAUGUUUUAAAUAUUUUUUAUUAAAAAUUUAAGAGUAUUAUCAAAAUAUUAUAAACCGUAAAACCAAACGAGCUCAUAGUUUUUAUUUACAAAUCUAUGAUGAUUCUGUUACAACCUUUUAUUACUGCUUCGUAAUUUGAUUUAUAUGAUAAUGAUUUGAAUAUUUUGAGUAGGCAUUAAGAAGGAUUUACAGAAUAUUGCAAAUCGUGAAAUGAACAAUCCGUACGAGAUAAAAACAUGAAAAACAUUUUAUCCACAUAACUUUUUAAUUUGCACUACAUGUAUUUAGGAUUUUUAAUGUCACAACUGUUGUCAUCACCCCUAUAGCCUACGGUGGUUGGUAGCAACGAUUUAAAACCUCGUUGCGGGAUCAGGGAUUACCGAUUAAACAAGUAGGUUGACUAAUGUCCACACGAAUGUCAUAAAUAUUUAUUUAUUAUUUUUUAAUAUUAUAUAUAGUAAAAAUAUAUAUUAAGUAUAGUAUUUUAUAUUAUUUUUUAAAAUUAUCAUAUUAUAUAUUAAUUAAAAAUAUAUUCAAAUAUAAAUUAUUAAAAAAAAAUAAUAUUAUUAAAAUGUAAAGUAAAAAAAAUUCGGCAGGUUCUUUUAAAAUUGGGCCAGUUGACUGGUUGAACCACCACUUUUCUCAACUGGUCAAAACGGAGUUUUGAGUCAGUUCGAUUUAAUGGGUUGAACCGAGCCCGUUUCGACACUGCAUCACGGUUCAACCGGCCGAACCGACUCGGGUUUUAAAACACUGGUUAGUAGCUACGCCCACUCUCAUCAUUAUGAUUGAGGAUUAAAUCCUGCUUCGAGUGAGAUAAGUGGGCGGGCCACUUAGUAUUUGGACCAUUAUUAGUUAAUUCGCGAAUUAUUUAUGAAUUAUUAAAAAUUCGAAUAAAACAGUCUAUAUACAAUUUAUUUCUAAAAAAUCAAAAUAAUACAUGAAUUUUUUGGUUAGAUUUAUUAUUUACGAAUAAUUCGUUUAUACUGAACUAUUCACCGAAUUAUUCGCGGAUUAUUGAAAAAUUUUAUAAACUUUCGAAAUAUAUGGAUUGUGAAAAAGAUGAAGACGGAGACACCAAUAAUUUGCUUUUUUUUUUUUUACUUAAUCUAUUUUAUUUUGUAGCUCUAUUUUUUUAUAUUUUUAAAAUUUUAUAACUAUGUAUGCUAAUAGUAUAAAUCUAGAGAAAAAAAAUAGUUUAAUACCUGAAUUUUUUAUCCUAAAUUGUUAAUUGGUGAACGUAUAGUAUUCGUAAAAAUCGCGUAUAUGAAUAAUUAUUUCUAAACUGUAUUUUUUAACAAAUUAAAAAAUUAAAAUACGAAUUUUAUUUUAAUUAUAUCUGUAUCGAAUUUUUACCGAAUUCUAAUUAACUAACUAUAAUUUGGACCCAAAAAAAAAGAUUUAUUGCCUUCGUGCCAACUGCCGAGCAGUACUGGCAUUAGUGGCUAGCACUGUUUUUUUUUUUUUUUUUUUUUUUUUUUUUUUUGAGAGAUAGGUAGUACGCUAUCCGCUUCGUUUACUUUAUUUAGAAAUAAACUUAGCUAGAAAUAUGAAUCAACUAGGAUUCGAACUUGGGUCUCGGAUACUAAACACUAAGUCCUUACCACUUGUUCUAGGGACGGUCGGUGUGGCUAGCACUGUUGCUUCGUACGCAGCUUGCAGCUUUUGAGGUACGAGCACACAUUUUGAAAUAUUUAGCCGACAAAAUCUAAGCGUGUGAUUGCAAGUUUCCUCCUCUCCCACGAAACUCUGGAUUUUAGUUUGUAACACUAGGGCAGGGUACUACCGUCCCUAGCGUAAAUGAUAAAAAAUUUAAUAAUUGAUAUCCGAGAUCCCGAAUUUGAAUCCUAAUUUAUUUAUAUUUUUAAUUAAAUUUAUUUCUAAAUAAAAUAAAUGAAACGUGUAGUAUGCUACUUAUCUCUAAAAAAAAAAAAAAUACUAUGGUAGGAUUUGUUUACAAUCCCGACCCAAGUAAAAUGAAUUAAGAUUUGGCGUGGAUUAUUAGGGAUUUGCUGUAAGAAAGAACGAUAUACAAUUAUUUUGUUAUUUUGUAGGUGAUAUCCUAACAUGAAUGUACCAUUGUAAAAAAUUGAAAUAGUUCCAUAUAUAAGAUAUAAUAAGACUAAAUCUUUUAACUCGAUUAUAACAUUUUGAACGGUUGGUAAGUCCAAGAGGUUAAAAGGAUUAAUCGCGUUAGGACUAAAGUAGUUCUAUAAUAGAGGAUUUUUUUGAAAAGUGGGGCGUCACAGUUAGUAUCGUAGCUAAUAACCGACCAAUUAUGUAAAUGAGUUUCGACUGAAUUAGGGUCAUAUAUAAGUAGAGUGCGACUUUUUGAUUGAUGAUUAUUGUAGGAGUGCAACUCCCCACGAAAUUGGCUAAUGGUAGCGAGGGGAUGAGUCUCACAUCAUCGAGUGCUUCUGAAUGUGUUUGAGUUUGACGAGUACGUCAGGACUUAAAAAAAAAAGAAAUGUGACACUCUAAGAAUUUGGAAUAGAUCUACGUACAUAUAAGGUAUACUAGAAAUAACUCUCUUGACCCAAUAUAGUAUUUUGAACAAUAACUAAGCCUAAAAAUUAAAAAGGUCAAAUGUACUAAAUCUAGAGUAGUAUUAGAAUGGAUGCCCUCCCUAGAAAGAGGACCCUCAUAGUGCAUUCCACGAAUUAAAGCCGGUUAAAAUAUAAUUUCUAAAGUCUCGCCGAAAAACAAAGAAGCAUAUUUUAGUAUUCCUUCACUUUUAACUUUUUUUUCUACAAUUUUUGUUCUUCUAAUAGCGUUAGUUGUUGCUCAAUACCAAAUGAGCGCUUAGAUUUUGUUCGGAUGUUAGAAUAAAUUACGGAGCAAUAACCUAUAUACAAUAUUCCAAUGCAACUUAGUACCUUACCUUUUGUCCAUUCAAAAAUUCCCACAGUCAAAAAUUCUACAGGUAAGAAAUUCCACCAGCAUUAAGUUUUUCUUAUUACGAAGAAGUGACUAAGAAUCUACAAAAUCUAUACCUUUCUACAUGAGAAUUGAUAAUUUCAUAGCUAAAUUUGAUAUCGCAAUAUAUUAUAUCUGAUCAUAAUUUAGACUUUUUUGCUCCGACAAUAUCAAAAUUUAGUCAGAAAAUAUCAGUUCCCUUCUGCAAAGUUCUUGAGUAAAUCUCUAUAAAAAGGGCCAUAUCCUUUUCAACUAAAUUAUCUUUAGUGAAUCUAACUAAUAAGUACAUAACAAAUAUCAUUUCUAAACUGACCCAGGUGAUUCAUGCCUUCAUUUUUUUUAAUUCUCCCCCCCCCUCUCUGCUACUAACAACAAUUUAGCAUGCUCAUACACAGCUGUUCAUUGUGUAGACCCCCCAGAAACAAAUCGAAGUUUCCGGAACGACGAAGGAGCGGAGAAGCCCAUAGCCGGCACGACGGCAUACAGCACAUGACACUGCCCAGAUGACUCUGAACACUGCAGCAUAAAAAACUAAUCCAUGCAAGCUAAAUCUCCACAUUUAGGUCAAUGUAGAGGCUUAGUAUAAUAAUUCUCGGAUCCUGCGAGGAAUCGGAGUUCGAUACGGAGGUUUAAGAUCCGUCCAUCUUGCGGUUUUGGCCGUACCUCGAUUAAUUUACUGAGCAAUCAAGAGGCUGGAUUAACAAAAGGUUGUAAGAUUAAUUUAUCUAAUGUCAGUUCAGCUGCAACCACUACUGUAUCUCAAGAACAGUGACAGGUUUCAGCACCUGUAUUUUUAUGCCCUUGCUGUAACAACUAGCAGUACAAAAUUUGGGUUUCUGACAAGCAAUUGGUUUUCAGGCAGAGGCCAGGGGAUAUUUUUUUGAUUUUUUGGCUUGACAGGAGCUUUUGCAGAAGUGUUUUUUUGAUAUGAUCUGAAGAAGUCAAAAGCAGCAGUUAUUCAUUGAAAUUCUGUCAACAAAUUUUCGAUGCAUUCAAAGUAGAAGUUUUAAACCAGUAGCAUGGUUAAUGUGGGGAAGAUAAUAUAUCCAAUAAUAACUAAUUCAAUAUGAAUAUUUUUUUUCUGUGAUUGAAAAUAAGAAGUUUGAUUUUUAUCCUAUAAAAGACCUUGAUUUAAUAGGAUAGUAUAUCUCAUCUUUCAUUUAUCUCUUUCAUUUAUUCUUUUUAGAUAUAAACUUAGUUAAAAAUAUAAAGCAAUUAUGCUCCGAACUUAGGACCUCGGUUACUAACUAUCAAACUUUUUACCGCACGCGUUAGGGAUCGUUAACUACUCCGUUUAAGGCACCUCAUAGUUAGACCUGACAAUCUCUAACCGUACUCGUGGAUACCAGCGGGUUACCCACAAAUUUACAGGUAUAAGUAUUAAUUUUUCUUAUCCAAAAAAAAAGGGUAAAACGGAUAGGUACUGUUAAGUUCUAGGCAUUUUGGAUAAACCACGGGCACCCGCAUUUUUUUUUAAUUAAAAAUUAUAUAAUCUUUAUGAUAUUAACUCUAUAAUCAUGAAAAGUUUAUUAAUUUUCUAUCAUAAAAAUUUGAGAUGAUAAGAUACUUUUAUAUUAUGUAAUUUAUGCGCUUUAAUAUUUUAUAUUUUUUAUUGUAUAUUAUGAUAUUUUAAUAACAAGUUUUGUCAUAUUUUUAAAAAAUAUAUCUAUGUAUUUUGUAUUUGAAAAAUAUAGGAGCAAAAAACAAAAACAAAAACACUUAUGGUUACCAUACCCAGCAUCUGAACGGAUAUGGAUAAAGAUGUUGAUUACUUAAAAAUUUAUGAGUAAUUUUAUUUAUGUCCAUAUAACCCGCAGGUAUAAUGAUCUGCCCGUGUGUUACCCAAUCUACUCGUUUAUCAGGUCUACUCAUCACACCCCUCAUUCCUCAAGUAUUACAUGAUUUUAGAGUUUACCGAAAAAAAUGCCAAAUAAGAUAUUUUUACAUCCAAAUGGGACUGCAAUUAACAACUAAGAGUUUUUUUUUUUUUUUGGAAAUGAUGUUCAUAAUGGAGAUUCAGAGAUAACAACUAAGGGGGCUGUUUAGUUACUCGAAAAAAAUAUGAAAAAAAAAAUUUCUAGGAAAAAUGUUUUCUAUGAAACUCUCUUUUCAGUUUUUCCAUGUGUUUGAUUCCGAGUUAAACUAUUUUUUUAUAUAAAGAUUUUUUUUUCAAAUUUUAUGAGAAAAUAGUGUUUUCGUUUCCUUUAAAAAAAAACGGUAGAACAAAAAACUAAUUUUCAAUAAAAUUUGUAAAAAAAAACUUUCGAAAAUAGUUUUUUUUUUUUUUUGAACCAAGAGGCCAGAAAACAUAAAAAAGAAUUUUCUCUGAAAAAUUUUAUUUUUUCAUACUUUUUCAAAAAAAGCAAAGAGUCUCAAAUUUUUUUCUUACUUUUUCAAGCAACUAAACAGUCUUAAAUUUUUUUCAUACUUUUUUAAGAAACCAAACAGUCAAAUUUUUUUUCAUAUUUUUUUGAAAAAACCAAACAGUCUCAAAUUUUUCUUCAUACUUUUUCAAGCAACCAAACAGUCUCUCUCUGAGGACGUAAAAAAGAAAAAAAAAAAAAAAAAGGGAAAAAAGAGGGAAGGAUGUGGAUCAAAUGCAUGAUCAUGCAAAAGAAAACAGGAGAAUACAAACAAAGAAGAAGACAACAUUCCAACCUGGGCUCAGUGCUUGGACUUCUCUAGCAAACAAAAAUUCAGGGCGAGAGAGAUCGAGACAUCAACAGUUCAACACCCACCCUAUCAGGUUGAGAAAGAAAGAGCACAUGAAGGUUCAAAUGAUUAUUGUUUUCUUUUGUUUCACGUGGAUCCAUAAUCCUUAAAUUUUGACACAUUGUGGACUCCAAAGAUUAAUAAUUGCUUCAUUUGUUGUUGACUUUGCCAGAUGGAUCCAUACAUUGUAUUUCCAUGCAGUUCAGAUUGUGUCCAAACAAAUUGAGAUAGAUCCCUAACUAUUUUGUCCUUGUCCUUCUCGCCGCUUCGUUUAAAGCCAGUAAUUAAAUAUAGGUAAAGUACAUGCAAAACCUGCCUGAAUUAUGAAUUACUUUGCGUCGGCUAUAUAUAUAAUCUCUUAAAAUUUAAUUUUACGACCUAACUUUUCAAUUUGUUUGAUUUGAGUCGGUCAACGAUAUUUCAACUUUAAAAUUUAAGCUAAUUAUAGUUGCGAAAAUUAUAUGAAGUAUACUUACUAAACAUGUAAAGAUAAAUGAUACAUUCAAAUAUUAUAGACAAACUGUUAUUGACUGACUCAAAUUAAACAAAUUGAAAAAAUAAGCAGGAAUAUCAAAAGUUAAGGAAGAGUUCGAUUAUUGGCUUAAAACGGUUCAUAGUUCAGGUAAAUUCUAUAUAUUUUUAUUUCAAAAAUAUUAUGGAAGAAAACGAAGUUGAUUUACCAAUGAAAAGCGGUAGAGCUUGAUUGCUUGAUCUCGCCACUUCGAUUGAGCGUUGUUGUUGUUGAUCAUGAUAAAUACAAAAUAAUUUACGAAAAUAUAGUGUGUUUUUGACCCCUACUUUAGUGAUAUGUUUGUAAGUUUUCAAAUUUUAUAAGAAUAUAUAAGAUAUUUUAGUGUUUUGAAGUGUAAAUAUACAAUAUCCCCACUUUAUGGAUUUUUAGUUUUAUUCAAUUUUCUUUUAUAAAUUUAUUUCCACAUUUAAUUUAUCAAAAUCUCUCAGAGUUCAAACUUGAACGAGACUAUUAAUGAUAAAAUAUUAAAACAAUUUUCUCUACUCGGUCACAAUUAAAGUAAGCUAGAAAAGUCAAUCUAUAUUAUAAAAUAGGGUUAAUUUCAUACAGGACUCCGUAGAGUCCUGUAAAUAUAAUAAAUGACAAAUAUAUUCCUACAAAGUUCAAAUUUCAUAUAUCGUCCUUACAAAAUUUUGAUGUUUUCAAAUAUAAUUCCUGCCAUUAGAAUUCGUUAGAAAAAUUAAGUUAACCAUAAGUUAAAUACUUAACCCUAGUUAGUUUUGACAUUUUUAGCUCUCUUAUGUUAUACUGUUAUAAUUUUUUGAGGGGCAUAUUUGUGAUAGCAAAACUAAAAAUAUAAACAGUUUUAACAGCAACAAAUCAGAUAAAUAUAUUUUAAAAUAUUUGAACUUUUAUAGAAAUAAUAUAUAAAAAUUAAAUUUUGUAGGAAUAUAUUUAUUUACCAUUUAUUAUAUUUAAAAUGACCUGUAUGAAAUUAAUCCUAUAAAUUAUAUCAAUCAUCGAGCUCAAAUUGUUACAAAAGUGUCGGUGGAUAUAACAAAAAAGGGUUUUUUUUUUUUUUUUUAUAAAAAAAAAAGAGAAGGGUUUGUUAAACAUAGCAAGUGGCACAGGAUGAUCCAAAUGCUGAAUAGUGCACGAUGGACUAAUCACUGUGCGUAAAAAUCAAUCAUCUCCUCAUUCUCUUCAUGAUUAAGUCAAUCAAAAUGCAUGAUAAAGAGGUACGAAUCUUAGUACGAUUUGUUCACUUCACCAAACAAGAGUAUUAAUAGGAUUUUUCGAGAAGCAUCAACCCACGCGAUCAUGGAGAGAAAAGGAUUUUUUUUUUUGUUUUUUUUGGGGUUUUCACUUGAGGGGAUGUACCCGGUUGUUUCCAUGGUGGAUGGAUAUUGUUGUUCCACCAAAAAAACAAAAAAUAUAUUUAUAAUUCCAUAUAUUUCAAUUUUAAUUUUUUUUUAGUCUAAUAACGUUAAAUGACUCUGAAUAAUACAACAGAUGCCUUCUAUAUCAUGACAAAUAAGCGUAAACAAAUUAUUGAGGCUAACUGCUUUUAUAUUUUGUAUUUUAAAAACUCAUUAUUUACGAAAUAAAUAAAAAUUAUACUAUAAUUGAAUUAUUGCAAUAUGCUCAACUAUUAUUUUCCUACGAAAACAGAAGUAAUAUAUUCCUAUUGCACUAACUCAUCGUCCCCAAAGUUACAAAUAGAGAUUUUUUUAGAAUUAAUUGUAUACCUCACUAUAGAGUGUAUCAAUAGUAUUUUCUCUUGGAAUUAAUUGCACCUUUUAUUUACCUAAUUUUUUAUUUUGAUUCCCAACUUUUUACUUUUUGUUGAGUAAUCCUUAACCAUUAGAUUAAUUGCACUAGUGGUUUCUAAUCUUUUCAAAGCUUUUCACUUUGGUCCCCUACCUCUUCUAUCACUUGCACGCCAUUGUAUCAAGCUUAAUUUCAUUAUCCUCUAUAUUUUUCUAUGCAUCUAUGACCAUCUCGGCUUUACACAUGAUACCUACUGGCUGGCUCUGUUGAAGUAUUUGGCAUUCUUAACAUCGAGCUGGAAAUGCUAUCUAACUCUUUCGAAACUAGAGAAAUUAGUACUGAAUUGAUUGAGAGCUACGAUUGUGAUCUAUAAAAGUAGGCGAAGCUUUAUAAGUAAUGUUAUAUUUACAAACAAAUUUUAUAAUAUAAUACUUUACAAACUAGCAUAUACAGCGGUAUUUUUUAAUAAAAAUGCAAAUCAAGAGAAGGUAAGUAUGAUUUAUAAUUUCGAGAUUCAAAUCCGACCACUAUACUAUACAAUUUGUAAAAUAUUAUGCAGUUUGUUUAUAAGCAAAACAUUUUUCAAGUUUUAUAAAAGUUGUCUUAGACUAUUUUAUCAAAAUUAAUAAAGAUUUGGAUGAUAAAAACCUAAUUAAAACAAAAGACAAUAUUUAGGGAUCUAACAACAACAAAAGAAAAGGUUCGCGGAGAAAGUAAAACUUAAAACUCUUAUAAAUUUGGACCAUUUUUAACCGAUUAUCUAAUCUUUCAGAAAUUUAAUUUUACUAUCCAGCUUUUUAAUUUGUUUAAUAUAUUUGAGCCAAUUAAUGGCACUUUAAUUUAAAAUUUGAAGUUAAAAUAUUCUCUUUUUUUUUUAUCAAAGCAAAAGAGUUACAAGAUAGUGACACGUGUACCUAGUGAUUAUACUACGCGUGCGCCUGACGCUGUGUUGGUACGCCAUGCCACGUAGCGGAUCAACGGCGCUACUGGCGCUGUAAUGUUUGGAAGCGACGCCGACACGGCCGCCGCGGCCCCCUCUCCCCAUCAAUGCAAACAUCGGAUCCCCCCCUCCCCUCCAAAUCGCCACACUUCUUUCACCCACUGGUCACUUGUCUCCCCCACCUCCCUAACGCCAUGUGUCCCUCCCGCUACGAAAAAAUCUAUAUUAUAACACUUAUAUCAUAACCGAUCGUUUCUAGAGUAAGUGACAAAGAAUUUGAUGAUUGAUAUUCAAGAUCUAAGUUUGAAUUUUAAUUGAUUCACAUUUUCAGCUAAGUUUACUGGUAAUAUAAUUGAUAUAUUCUAGACUGUUUUCUUCCCACCUCUCCAGCUUCGCGACAAAUUCAAAUUUUCGAAUCACCGUCUAAAUUUUCACGCCCUCGAGGGGGCCCACACUGCAACUCUCCCCUCCUCCCUACUUUCCCCUUCUCCUCUCUUUAACCCCCCUUGCUUAAGACCAUACGUGCAUUCAAAAAAUAUGUGUUAUAAUUAAAAAGGCAACGAUGAAAAUAACAGUUUUUUUAAAUAUGGAGUCAAAACGAAAGAGAAAAAAAAAAAGAAAUUUUAAAAACGGUCUACGUGGCGACAUGCGAGUCACCGUCGAGUCCAAUAAUCCUACGUGGCGACUCUCAGAUCAUUCUCCCGUUUAAACAAUUUAUUAAUUGUUUAUUCGAUUCAAUACUCCUCGAUUCCCAUACUCUGGAAGCUCCCUCCCUCUAAGGUAUUAAAAACAACCGCAAGGCCAUGGGAUGGGUUACUUCUACUUAUUGCGAGUAGUACAUAGGAAGCAUCCGUGCGCCUGCUCCCUCUUAAAAUUUAAGGAGUCUAUAUAAUUUACCCCUCUUCUUCUUCCUCUUCCUCUUCCUCUUCCUCUAUAUGUAUAUUGCUACUAUAUUUUAAUGGAGAUCUCCGCCUCAGAAGUUGCGUCUCCCCUUCGUCUUGUUCCCCUUCUCCGAAUCCCCCCUAAUUAAAUCCACUCCCUGAGCCCACACCCUCACACUUGGAAACCCUAAUCGAUUUGUUUAGGUUCCUACCGAAGAUUGUGAAGAGAAUGGCGGAGAAGCCGCUGAUGUUGAAGGAUUACCUGGAGAUCGAGAUCGACUCCCAAGCGGAGUCGAGCGACGGGUUCCCCUGCUACCCGCGGCUCGCCGACGCCGCCACCGUGCGCCACCUCCUCGCCGCCGAACUCCGCGGCGGCGCCGGGAAGCCCUUCUACCGCCCGCGAUCGGCGAAGGGGGGCGCGCUCACGCGGAUCUCCGCCGCGAUCAAGCUCAAGCUCCUCCCCUUCUCCGCCGCCGAAGGGAGAAGCGGGGAGGGGUUCCUCGCCAGAAGCUUCUCGAAGCGGAUCAGGGGGAGCUUCUGGAAGAAGCGAUCGGAGGAUGCGGAGGGGAAGGGGGAGGGGGAGGGGGAGCGGGAUCGGAAGCGGAGCGUGAGGGUGAAGGACAUCGUGCGGCUGAGAUCGUUCGAGGAGAUCGAGGAGCGGCGAUCGUUCGGUUGCCCUUCGCCCGUGGUGAGCAGCUGCGGUAGCUCGUCGGAGAGCGAGUCCUCCUCCUCGUCUUCGGGCUCCGAUUUCGUGAGCUCCUCCAUUGGGAGCUCCGAGUUCCUCGACGAGAUCGAAUCCGCCGCCGCAAAGAAUAGCUCGCCGCCGCGGAGCCCUAACGCAAACGCAAACCCUAACCCUAACCCUAACCCUAACCCUAACCCUAACCCUAGGGUUUGUACCGUCGCCGACAUCGGCGUCCGUGCGGAGGGGACGGCCACCGGAGACACGAAGGUGCGCUUUAUUCAAUUAAUGCUUCUAUCAUUGCUCAUAACCGUAAUGCUCUAUAGUAAAUCAUUCCCUGAACCCGAUGCACCACGUCGUCCGUGGACGUCCGCCCAUCCACCGUUGAAUUUACGAGGAGUGGCGUAGAUCGCACGGACAGAGUGAUCUACCAAUAACGUGGUACACCCGGUCCAUAUAGUAGGUUCAUCUAGUUUAGUGACUCACGUUCUGGUUCGCGCAUUGAAUGAACAGCUCGGACGGUACUAAUUCAAUUUAGACUCUUUAAUAAAUCGCAAAUUAUAAGUUCCGAGACGUGGAUACGAGUGCAUGCAUUCUUAAUAUAGCUUAUUGUCCUAAUCUCGAGGUAGGCGUAGAGUUACAUGCAUGUUUAUCGCGAAAAAAACUAACAUAAUUAUGCAUUGUAAAAAUAACAAAAAAAAAAAAAGAUUAGUAGUAAUUUUUUAUUCGCGAAAUUAUCCUUUUGAUCUUAAAAUUAUGAGGCUCGUUACAAUAUAAGUAAUUACUGUUAUAUAAACGACACAGUGUUAUACAAAUUAGAUUGAAAAAUCUGAUUGAAAUCAUCUAGAUAGUUGAAGUUAAAAUUAUAACAAAUCAAGUUUAAAAAGCGUAAUAUAGUUCGAGGACGAGAAGUGUAAAUUAGGAGCAUUAUCAACAAGGAUUAUAACUUUUUACCCCAGGAGAAAAAAAAAAUUAAAGCUGUUCGUUCUCCACUGUCGUAGUGUCGUUAGUGGAAUUUGUCGUGUAGCGUAAAAGGUGUUGGGUACGCAAAACUAAAUAUAUAGGGCUGGUCCACGGUGUAUUAGUUUAAGCUCGAGCUGCUCCACUUGCUCAGGCGCAUUACUUUAUCGACGCCACUUCCACCAACCGCUAAUAAUGCCUCCAUGUUUACAUAUUUCCCCCACCUCAUCUUUUUAUUUUAUUUUAUAUUUACUUAUUUGUUUAAUCAUUUUAUUUUGUACGUACGUGCAUUUAUGCAAUUGUUUUGAGCGAGGAGGAAAAAAAAAAAAAUCAUAUAAUAAUUCCGUAAAAAGCGGAUACCGCGACCACGCGUGCUCGUCUUUUCCCUGUUUCGCUCCGUACCUUUCACGCCCACGAAGCGGAACUAAUCUCCCUCGCAUUAUUGGGCGCACUCGUGCCUCUAUCCUUUUAAAAUGCAAGUUUUAUAUAUAUUUUAAAAGAAUUUCGUGUUCGUGUUAUUGAUAUAUAGUAAUUAUUGGUAGGUGCCGCACCUUGCCAUUGACAUACUGACACGCAUUUUGCUUUUAUAUUUUAUUCAUAAAUUAUAUUCUCUUAUUAUGAAUAUAACAUAUUACAAAUGUUUUAGUUCUUAGAUUUACUCGUCAAAAAGAAGCAAAUUAUAACUUCAUUUUUUUUUUUUUUGGGGUAAUUAGGGGGUGGAUAGUGAAUCAAGGGAGGAGUGUCAAAUGGAGGCGGAGGAGAAGGAGCAGCUAAGUCCUGUAGCGGUGAUGGACUUUCCCUACGAGGAUGAGGAUGAGGAUGAGGAUGAGGAUGAUGAUGCGACCACCACAACCACUUCCCCUUCUUCUCCCUCUUUCCAACAAACCCUUGCCAACAUCGAGAGUACGUGUCCUCUCCCUUAUCUUUUCUAUCUUUCUAUUUGCGUGAUCUCUCUACUUUAAUUUGAAGUUCGGUACGAUCUUCUUAGCUGGCUCUGGGGGGCUCGCAAGUUCCACUAUUGCUUUCGCUUUUUGCGAGGCAGGUAAAAAAAAAGCAGCUUUUCAACCGACCAAUCAAAUCCAAAUCAAAUUUCUAUUAUAUCGAGUGGUCGUAUCCUACGAAUUUAAAGAUGCGCGACUAAAAUCACUUCACAAAAAGAGCACAAAAAAAAUUUAUUAAAGUUCAAACAAACUUCACAAAAGUUUUCUUAAUAAAACCCUUAGUGCUAGUUGAAAUAGAGAUCGCCUUAGCUACAGUUGGUUUUUUUUUUUUUUAAAAAAAAUAGGUAGUAUGCUAUUCCUUUUAUUUAUCUUAUUUAAAGAAAAUAUAAAUUAAUUAAAAUUUGAAUUCGAAACCUCAAGUAUCAAUCACUAAAUCUUUUAUUACUUGCUACGGAGGGUCGGUGCUAUAGUUGGGGUGUUAGUGUGUGUUCUUUUGGGACCAUGUGUUGCUUCAGAAUCUUCUCUGUUUUUGUCGCUGGUUUCCUGGCAUUUACUGUUGAGGCCAACCUAGAGAGAGAGAGAGAGAGAGAGAGAGAGAGAGAGAGAGGGGGGGAGAGAGAGUAAAAGCUAUUGCUUGCCUUUGCCCCUAUUAUCUUUUUGUCCUUGUCGUUGGUCCCACUGUAAUUAAGGCAUGCUUUAAUAUUCUGCAGGGUUACCCAUGCACAAAAUAAUAAUAGAACAGAUUUUUACAAAAACAAUAAUAGACGAAAAAUCAGAAGUUACUAGAGUUUGGAUCCAAAUGGAACGUUGCAAAGUUCAGGAACGAAGCCAAAAAUGCAUUUCUCAAUUUAGUAUCUUGACAUUUAAAGUUUAUCAAUUUAGUAUUCUGUGAUUUUAUUUUUUUUCUGUUCGUCAGCUCCCCCAUUAAUAUUUUUUUAAAUUACAUAAAAAAAACUUUAGAUAUCCCAAUUAUAUUUAUCGAAUAUUCACUUUAUUAAUACUUUUUAUAUUUAACUUUAUUGCUAAUUUAACAAAAAAAAAUUAGCCGAAUGGAUAAUAAAAAGAAAAAAAAAAUCACGGGGUACUAAACUGAUAUAUUUGAAACCAUAUGGUACCAAAGUAAAAAAUGUGAAAACACAGAGAUGGUAUUUGAAGUUUUUUUUAAUAUUUUGGUCGUAUAAUUAAUUUUAUAAAGCAAUUUCCAACAAAAAUUUGAUGCAUAGACCUCUAAAAUGUGUAAUAUUUUAAUUUUUUGCUACACCAUAAAGAAAAUAAUCUAUGAAUUUUUUAAAAAAUUUAAGGGGUCAUAUGAUUUGUUGUUUUUGAAAAAAUAUAUGUAGAGGUUAGUUAAGUGCCAGGUUGUUAGAAAAUUAGGUCCAUAGUUGGAGUUUCUGAUAGGCGAUAAAUGGGUUUGGGGACCAUCUUAAUUAUUUGUAAAUUGUACAUGUCCUUAAAUUUGAUAGAAUUAAUUAACAAUAGUGUUACGGACAUAACUUUCACUCAAAAGGAAAUUAUGGCGACGCAUGCAAAAGGCCGUAAUGAUUGGGGCAUCUCAUGAUGCGUAGUUUAGGUGCAUUGAAAAAGCUUUACAGUGUUAUUUUUUAUAAAUUUUUCUCGCGUUGAUAAAUUUACGUAAUAUAUUAAAAUGUGUACAUAUAUGUAUUACCAACAUCUGGCAUUCUCGGUAUGAAUAGAUCAAUACACACAUAUACGAAAAAAAUAUAUAUAUAUAACGAGGGGCCGAAAUAUCAUUUCCUGCUCAGAGAUUCAUGAAUCUCAAAAGAUUCUGUAGAUCGAACUAAAGCUCAUAUUCAUUUUGUAAGUAAAUUAAAUUUGUUUAAGCAAAAUUAUAACUAAAAGAUUUGGGAUUGUUUGUGUUGACUCUUUUUAAGAAAAACAAAUCUUUACUGCCCUCUUCGCGUUUAUUCAGAGGCAACUGCUUUUACCAAAAGCCCGAAAUUAAAACUCCGUUGUUAUUCACAAAGCUUAAUAAGCAUACCACAGUGUGUGUAAAAUAACUGUUAUACUCUAAAAAAUUAAGCGAUAGAGAAUGCGAAUGCUAAUCAACUGCGUUUGAUUGGUUAAAUUAAAAAUUAACGAAUUUUGGCUUCGUCGUUUCUGACGCGUUCUGCAGGAACGAAGCUGCAGCUGCUGCAGAAGAUCCGACGGUUCGAGAGCCUCGCCGAUCUGGACCCCGUCGACCUGGAAUCGCGCUUCGCGGCCUCCGACGAGGAAGGAGAGACCGACGUCGGGAGCCCGACCGGAUCGCGAACGGCGCGGGGCCUACUCGCGCUCCUCGAGGCGGCCACCGGGGGGGCCCACCACGGAAGCUUCGAGAAGCUUCUGCUGGACUUCUUCGCCGAGGGCCUCUCGCACGUCGACUCCGCCACCACCAAUUCGUCGGCCGAGCUACUGGAGUACGCGAGGGAGUGGACGAUCGACGGCGCGCGCCGCUUCUGCUGGGAGGAGAAGCAAUUGGAAAUCAGUGAGAUGGAGAGAAACGGACGGUGGAGAUGCUUCGGCGAGGAAAAGGUUCAAUUGAGCGCGCAUUUGGAGCGCGCCAUAUUCGACUCGUUGGUAGAGGAGUUUGUGUCGUGGUAAAAGAAAAUAAUAAUAAUAAUAAUAAUAAUAAAAGGGUACGUUGUUUACGAGAGGGUUAACAAAAUUUUAACACAAUGUGGGGACGAAACGGGAAGUGUCUGUAUAUGUCACGGACGAACGUAGGUCACGGUAGAACCCAAAAUUUUGUAGGGCGAGAUGUGAUAAAUGUGGUUUUGAGGUUUGGCAGCGUGCGUACAUAUCUGUUUUGGAUUGUUUUGCCUGUACUGUACGUUUUGCUGGUGAACUUUUCUUUGCACUCCCUAUUAAACUUUCGGUACUGCACUACACUCCAAAAAUAUUUAAUUUUGGUAAAUAUAUAUAUAUAAAUGCUAACCCCUCAAUUACUAAAUUCUAAAAUAUUACAAUGCUACUACAUUAUUAAUAUCUCUAACUAAUCAAAUUUGCUUUUGAAAUUUAUCCAUUCCAUUGUAAUUUUUUCCUUCAAAAAUGUUAUUAUAUUUUUCUCUUAAAAUAAGAAGUUUAAUUGGCUUAAGACGCAAUAACAUGGCAUCAUGCACUGCGAUAUAGAAGACCACCUCCCUCAGCAAACUAGACUUCUAUUUUAUUAGAAUUAAGUUGUUUAAAAACUAAAUUUGGUAAAGUAUUUGAAUUAAUUAAAUCUAAAAAUUCACACAAAAUUUUGAAAGUUGAGACAGUUUCAACCAAUAAAAAUAAAAUAUAAGUUGAGGGAGGUAGAUCACAAUGGGAUAUUGUUGAAGGGGCCGGGUCUCCCUACAUCUUUUACUGCUGAUAUAAGAAUAAUCGAUAUUUUUAAUCUCAAGAUCCCUAAUAAAAGUCUCAUAAGUUCACCUAUUUUUAGACUCGGUCACUAGACAACCCCCGUGUGAUUUUCUUUUUUUGUUUUUUUUUUUUUUUAGAGAGAUAGGUAACACGCUACCCGCUUCGUUUAUUUUAUUUAAAAAUAAAUUUAGCUGGAAAUGUGAAUCAAUUAGGAUUCAAACUUGAGAUCUUGAAUAUCAAACUUGAGAUCUUGAAAAUGUGAAUCAAGUAGAAUUCAAACUUGAGAUCUUGAAUAUCAAUCAUCAAAUUCUUUUUCACUAACUUUAGUAACGGCCGAUUUUUUUUAAUUUCUUUUUCUUGAAAAAACAUGCCAUUUGACUAUACAGCAAAUAUGUCCUGGCCGCCUUUUCCCUUCAGGUGCUGCUGUCUGAGUUUGCUAUUAUUAUUGUUACUUCUCGUUUUAACUGCCCUCACUGCCAUUUUUUUUUUUUUUAACCACCACCAUCGUCACAAGCCAGUGAUAUUUCCAACGUCACCAUUAAUAAUUCAUCAGAGUUCGGCUACUAUACUAUUAAUAACACCAAAUAUUUGUACUACUAAAUUUUUCACCUUUAGAUCUAUCAUUUUUAUCAUUUUCACCUAUUAGAUCAUACUAUUCAACUAACCAUCCAUUCAAUUUGAUGAGUCUAUCAUUAUCCUAACCCCACAUCGAUCCCUUCAUCUAAGGAUUGAAAAUCUAAUAACACUGAUAAUUAACUUGAUGCUAUUAAUAGUAUAGUAGCCUACUAACCAAAUACAAGAAAUAUAUACUUUAUAGAAUCUUAAGAUGCAUAGCCAAACACGAAUGCUGUCUUAGGACAAGAAUUCCACUUUCGUAAUAUAAUUUCUUAACAGAGGGUGAUUUCACAUUUACAUAUUAAAUUCCAUUAACUGCAAGGCCCUAAUAAUUCACAAAAUAUCUCAAAUGAGAAUAGUGAUUUAAGCCCUGAAAAAUGCAAGGUGUAGUUAGCGGGCGCUCCUCCUCUUCAGCCCUUCACCACAAUGCUUCUGGUAACAAUCUACCCACUAGCAUUAAUAAUUUAUUGAGUCUAAGCCCUUAUAAAUAAUUCUCAUUAAUUAUAUCUUAUUUUUUAGUCUAAGAUUAUCAGAUGAUGUGACAUCCAUCUUAUAUUUUUGACUGACAAAUUAGCUCUAAUACUAAUUGUAAUGAGUUACUAGUGGUGGUGGCUAGGUCGUUACACUUCCGAUUCGGCAUGUAGACAAAUUACGAUUAUAUUCUAUUAGCCUAACAUACCUAGUAUCGUCUCUACCUACAAAAGUUCUCCGUUAAUAUUAAGCGUAUGCUCGGCAACGGUAGGAAUUUAAAACAGUGUUUUAUAAUUUACUGUAAUAGGUUGGUACAAGAACCUUAAAACUCUAUAAUUUUUUUACUCAGUGUUUUUUAGUGCUUGGUUCAAUUCUGAAAAAAAAUAAUUUAAUGUGAAAAAAAGAAAUCCCCUCCACACGACCUUUUUCUUGUUCAAACCCACCCCUACCACCUUCUCCUUCUUGCUUAAAACCCACCUAUAUCCCCAUCCCUUCCACUUUCUUCAUCACCCUCUACCGUGACAACCCAACACGAAAAAUUCACCGAUAUCCCAUCUCGGAACAGGAGCGUUUAUAGACAACGGUAAGGAGAAACGUCACAAUCUCGAGGAGGCAGUAAAGGUAGAAGAAGAAGACGAGUAGGAGGUUGGAGGGUAGCGGUAGCAAAGGUAGAGGGUGGCGGUAACGGAGGCGGUAGCUGACAGUGAGGAAAAAUGUCACAAUCUCAAGGAGGAGAUAGUAGAGGAGGAAGAAGAAGAGUAGGAGGUUAAGGGGCGGCGGUGGCGGCGGUGGAGAGCCAGAGGGUGGCGGCAACGGGGGUGGUAGCCGACGGUGAGAAAAAAUGUCACAAUCUCCUCGGUAGUAGAGGGAGAAGAAGAAGAAGAAGAGUAGGAGGUCAGGGGGCAGUGGUGGCCGCGGAGGAGGGUAGCAACGGAGGGCGCCGGUGAGGUGGAGGGGUGCUCGGUUGUCGAAGUGGGAGAACUCGUGAGUAUCGACAGCAGAGUUUGGAAGGAAAAGGUGACGGAGGAUGCACGGGGCAAAAAGAAAGAGGUGGGAUGAGUUCUCUGAAAAAAAAAAAGGAAAAAAAGAAAAAAAAAGAAAAAAGAGUGAUUUAUGUACUUUUUUUUUUCCUAAAAACACUCUGUUUUGAGUCCAUUACUUUAAUUCUUUUACAAUUCCAAACUUAUCCAAACAGAGUUGUAAAAAAUAUAGAGUUAAUUACACCAAUGGUCCCUAACCUUUACACUAUUUUUCAAUUUGGUCCCCGAUCUUUUUUUUUGCAAUCAAGUCCUUAAUCUUUUGAUUUCAUUUCAAUUAAGUCCCAGCCGUUAAAUAGUUAUUAAAAUUGACGAAAAAUACCACGUCAGCUCCACGUUAGCGCCACGGAGACGCCAGGUCAACGCCACGAUGGCGCUGUGUCAGCGGAUUGCAAAAAAAAAAAAAGGUUGGGGACCAAAUUGAAAAAUGGUGCAAAGGUUGAGGACCAAUGGUGUAAUUAACCCAUUAAAUUUAUAAAUUCAAAAAAAAUUUAAAUUUAAUAUUUAAAUUUUAAAUUUAAAUUUUGAUUUUGGAUUCAAAUUUAAAUUGGAAUUCAAAUUCCGAUUUUGUAUUUAAUUUUAAAUUUUUAAUUUUAAAUUCAAAUUCACAUUUGGAAUUCUAAAUUCUAAUUUAAUUUCAAACUUCGAUUUGAAAUUUCAAAUUCAAAAUGUGAAUUUGAAUUCGAAGUUUAAAUUCAAAUUUAGAAUUGAAAUCAAAUCUUUAAAUUCAAAUUUAAAUUUUGAAUUCAAAUUUAAAAUUUAAAAUCAAAAUUUUGAAUAUGAUUUUAAAUUUAAAUUCAGGUUUUAAAUUUAAACUUCGGUUUCAAAACUUUCAUUUUAAAUGUAAAUUGAAAUAUCAGAAUCAAAAUCAAAAUUUUAAGUUUGAAUUCAAAAUUUAGAUUCAAUUAAAAAUUUAAAUUUAAAAUUUGAAUUUCAAUUCAAAAUUUUAAUUCAGUUUUAAAUUCAAAUUCAAAAUUCUAAUUUCUCGUUAGUUUAAAAUUUUAAUUUUAAUAUUAUUUUUGAAUUUAAAUUUAAAAUUUUGAAUUUUUUUUUAGGGACUAAAAUGAAAAAUGUGCAAAGUUUAGGGACCUAAUUGACAUGCAAAAGGUUGCCACAUAGGCGCUGACAUGGCGAUUCCGUUAAUUUUAACUGUUUGUUUAAUGGUUGGGACCUAAUUAUAAUAAAAUUAAAAGCUUAGGGACUCAAUUGUAAAAAAAAAAAGUUGGAGACUCAAGUGAAAAUUGGUGAAAGGUUGGGGACUACCGGUGUAAUUAACCCAAAAAUAUAUUAUAAGUUGGAUUAUUACUCAGAGUACCCAAACAGGCCCUAAAACUUCAAUUUUGGCUAAAGAACCCAGCAGAGUAGUGAAAAAUGUGAAUAUUAGGUUGCAUUUGGUUCGGGUAUAAGUAAGAACUAAUUGUUCCACGGAUAGGUACAAGUUCAGGUAUAAGCAAGAAUUAGACCAAUUUUGCGUUUAGAUGAAAAUUGGAUUGUUCCUAGGAAUAAGAUAAAUGGUGUUUGGAUGGUUAGAUUGGAACAAGAGGAAUAAAAGUUAUAAUUUGAAAUUAAGAUUAUAUUAUGUAAUUAAUUAGCAUCAAAAUAUUACUUAAAAAUAGAUAAUAAAUUAAUUAUUAAAAAUUAAUUAUAAAUAAUAAUAAUUAUUAAUAAUUAUUAAUAAAUAAUAAUAAUUAUUAUUAAUUAUCAUUAAUUAAUUAUAAAUAAUAAAUUAAUAAUAAUAGCGAUUGUCUAAUUAAUAAUUAUUAAUAAUUAAUUAUAAAUAAUAAAUUAAUAAUACAAUCGAUUAUCUAAUUAUUAAGGAUAGUAAUUAUUAAUAAAUAAUAAUAAAUAUUAUUAAUUAUUAAUUAUAAAUAAAUAAAUAAUUAAUUAUUUAAUUAUUAAAGUAAUAAAUAAUGAUUUAAAAAUAUUAGUUAAAUUAAUUAAUAAUUUGCUAUUAUUAAAAUUAAAUUUAGACUUUAGUUAAUCUUGUUCUCAUAAAAGAACAAAUUUGUUCCAGAAAGAAGGUAGAACAGCAAUUCCAACCUUAUAUCAACUUGUUCCAGAAAUCCGGAAACAAUUGUUCCCGAGUACCAAACAUAAAAUUUGAGAACAAAGGGGAAAACAAGAACUUAUUCCCCUCUGUUUCCGAACCAAACGCUACCUUAAUGUACUAGUUUGCCAUUUUAGGCCUCAUCUGAAAUAAGACCUUAAGAUCCUAUUUUAAUAUCAGAAUAAAUUACUCAAUAAUCACAUAUCUGGUAUAAAAAGUUUUAGUUGUGAUUAAAAAAUAGGAAUUGGAUUUUUGCCUCCUUAAAUAAUCUUGACAUCUAUAAGCUAGGAAAGCAGUAGAUUUCACCUACGAGGUGAUUUAUCUCAUUUCUAAAAAAAUAACUUGUACACCGAAUAUGAUAUGCCUUUCCAAAACAUUUAAUCCUAUUUCUAAUAUACCAAAUGCAGUUGGGAAUCCAGUACUCGCCCCGGUAGCGGAUCUCGAGAAUCCGUAACCCGCUCCUAUACCGACUGCUGUGGAUCCGGUAUCGAUUGUUGGGAUUCCGCAACGGAAGCGUCGAAUCGGGUUUUUACCAUAAACACGUCUCCUCAGCAAAAGCUGAUACAAUCAUAAAAGAGAGAAAAAAAAAAUCAAAACAGAAAAUAUGCGGGUAAAAUAAGAUUCAUUAAAUAAAAAAAUAUUACACCUGACUUUUCUUCUGCAACAGAGUAGCUACAACCCUAGCCCUCUUUUUGAAUCUCUCCUACCUUUCUCUCGUCUUCUAUAAACCCACAAAGAAGACCUCUCCGCGUGCACCCGUGCACAAGGUGCACUAAAAUAACUCUCUCUCUCUUUUUCUCUCUCUGGUAUGACACCCCAAUGGUUCCAACCGUACUCUCCCAAAAAGAGCACCAUCAAGAGCUAUUUAUAAAGCUCCACCAAAACAUACCCCAAUCAUAAUAUAAUUAGGAUUCCGACUUUAAUUAAUAUCUAAAUCUACCUUAAUUAAUCUCUAAUAGAUUUACAUAUUAAUCCUAAUCUAGUUAGGUUUAUCCUCUAAUUAAUAUUUAAAUCUUAAUUUAUCUCCAACAGAUUUAAAUAUUAAUUCUUAUCUAAAUAGGAUUCAACUACAAAUCUAACCAAAUCCUAACAUUCUCCACCUUGAUUUGAUUUGUAAUUUUCAACCGCUACGUCGAGCUCACCAUGCAAGCUCCACCUUGAGCUUGUCUCCUCCGCUCGAUGUCGCCGCAUCCGUCACUCCGUCUCGAGCAACUGCACAUCCGCGAAAGUUUGGAACCCAAACCGUCUUCGCUCCCGUUCCGGCUGUGCUCCCGUUCAGAACGUAUAAGUUCCCACGCUUGUUCGCCUCGCAUACAACCCGAUCUCGUUUUCGGACCCUCAUAACUCCACAUGAAGCUGAAAUAUCGCAACCCUUCGAGUCCAAUGCGCUUAACGAGAUCAAAUUCCGCUUCAAUCUAGGAACAUGUCGAACACCCAUCAGCGUCCUCACGACCCCAUCGUGCAUUCGGAUCUUCACAGUGCCGACUCCCAAAACUUUGCACGCCGUCCCGUUCCCCAUCAGAGCCUUUCCACCCUUGAUCGCCUUAUAGGUGGCAAAAGACUCCUUCUCCGGGCAUACGUGAAAAGAACACGCUGAAUCGAGCACCCACUCGUCAUCCGAAAUUUUCGCACCUCCGGUCGCCGCAUACAGGACAUCAGAAUCGAUCAUCUCCGACUCUGCCGCCUGCGCCAUCGCUGAUACCGUCUCGUCCUGGUUCAUGCAAGUUUUCUCCUUCUGUCGCUUUAACUCCUUCAGAUCAUCCUGAAGUUUUCGACAAUUGCGCUUGAUAUGCCCCUUCCUGUGACAGUAAAAGCAUUCUACCUCAGAUAGCGGUUUCUUCUGUCAAUAUUCGGUCGCCGAUAUUCUCGCCUCCUUCUUCGCAGUCACCACCAGUCCUACAUCCUGACUUUGCGUGCCGGACUCCUGAAUCAUCUUCCGCAUCUCGUUCGAGAGAAGCGCCGCCGUGACCGCCUCCACGCUUAUGGACUCCUUGCCAUAAAGUAACGUGGUCACCAGAUGCUCAUAUGUCGUCGGUAGCGAAGAUAGUAGGAUCAACGCCUUGUCUUCGUCAUCCAGAUUGACUCCGACGCUGGUCAACUGGGCCACCACCUUGUUGAACUCAUUUAGAUGAUCAUGUAGGCUCGCCGCUUCUUGCAUCCGCAACGUAAACAGUCGCUGCUUCAGAUACAAUCUGUUCGUCAGGGAUUUGGUCAUGUACAGAUCUUCCAAUUUCUUCCACAAUUUCGCCGGUGUAGUCUCGCCGGCUACAUUGUAAAGAACCUCAUAUGCUAAUGAUAGAUGAAGCGUACUUAGCGCCUUCCGCUCCAUCUUCGUCCAUGCCGCAUCCGUGACCUCCGCUGGCUUUGCCUCCUUCCCGUUCAACGUCUCGUCUAAUUCUUGCUGUACUAGAAUUGCUCGUACUUUAAUUUGCCAUAAUCCGAAAUUGUUCUUACCGUCGAACUUCUCGAUUUCGAAUUUCGUGGCCAUCUCCGUCGAUCUCUCCCGCAGAUCGGUAACCUUCGGCUCUGAUACCACUUGUUGGGAAUCCGGUACUCGCCCCGGUACCGGAUCUCGAGAAUCCGCAACCCGCUCCGAUACCGACUGCUGUGGAUCCGGUAUCGAUUGUUGGGAUUCCGCAACGGAAGCGUCGAAUCAGGUUUUUACCAUAAACCCGUCUCCUCAGCAAAAGCUGAUACAAUCAUAAAAGAGCAGAAAAACAAAACACAGAAAAUUAUGCGGUAAAUAAUUCUAUUAUAAGUAGAAGAUCUAUCACCUGAAUUUCUCUUCGCAACAGAAGUAGCUACAACCCUUUAGCCUACUUUUUGCAUCUCUCCCUACACCUUUCUUCGUCUUCUAAAAACCACAAAGAAGACCUCUCCGCGUGCACCCGUCACACCAGAAAUGCCACUAAAAUAACUCUCUCCUUUUUCUCUCUUCUGAUCGACACCUCACAAUGUUCCGCUUCUCCCAAAAAGAGCCACCUCAAGAGCUGAUUAUAAAGCUCCACCAAAACCAUACCACAAUCAUAAUAUAAUUAGGACUUCCGACUGUUAAUUAAUAAUCUAAAUCUACCGUUAAUUAAUCUCUACAUAAGAUUUACAUAUUAAUCCCUAAUCUAGUUAGGUUUAUCUCUAAUUAUAUUUAAUCUUUAUUAUCCUCCACAGAUUUAAUAAUGUCAUUCUAAUCUAAUUAGGAUUUAACUAAAAUCUAACCAAAUCCAACAAAUACUACAAACUUUUUAAGCAAAUAAAAAAAGUGCGAUGCACAGGUAUGUUAUAUGCAUGCAUGCAUCCAAUCGAAUAACUAAUAAGUGACACCAUAAUAACAAUAGAGCAUUGGAAUCAGUAAUGACCACAAAACAAUAAUAAAAGUUCCUAAUUGAGAGAACUUGUCGAGACUCAUCUACAUUUUCUCUGAAAACAGAAAAAGAUUCAAUCCUACAUUUCCCAACAGUCAUUAUUAACAAAAAAAAAUUUGUUCACCUUCAGGUAUCAGGUAAAGAGGAGCAGAGAGAGCAUCUUUAAAAUUAGUUAUCAGAUUACAAACAGCUACAAAAAAAAAAAAAACAAAUUUCAGGUGCAGUAGGAAAAGAAAGGGAACUUUAGUACAAUUUUUCACAAGAAAAAAAGUGGUCUCCGACAAGAGAAUUCAUGAAAUUUUAAUUAGGGAGUACAAAAACCUGCUGUAAAACUGGGGGAAAAAAACAGAUAUUAGAAGAAAUAUUAACAAGAUCUAAAGCAGCAGGACAAGAAACAGCAAAUAUCCUGCAGAUUAAAUUGGAUAUUCAUAGCGGCAUGCGCCGCAGCACCUUCCUACCUCAUUUUCUUCGUGAGUGCAGCGGUGCGGAACUCCGCAUCAUCCUUGACGAAGCUCCACCAGAGAAAUGAGAGAGGAAGCACAAUAGCGUGAGUUAGUGAAUGGGCAUCGACGUAACCCUUGUAUGGAGGGAAGUCAGAGAUUUCGAGAAGAACGGCGAGGGUGGCUCCUAUAGCAAUUACCCACAGCUUGAUGCUCGAGGGAUGGCGAGUUACUACAGACCACACCGCCCAUAAAAGCAUUUGAGCUAUGCCUAUGGCUAGGCAUACCUUCAUGUUCAGACCUUAGAAUAAGAGAGAGAGAUUAAAAUCAUCACAUAACGAAAUAAUUUGUGCAGUGAUAGCUAGACUUCAAACUGAUCUUUUUCGUCCUUUUUGCUGAGAAAUACUUAUUAAUGAAUGCAUCUCCGCUCGUGGAAUUCAAUAUUUUCUUUAAGACGAUGAUCUCCGUUUGGAAAUUAUAGAAAGAAAGAAAAGAUUUGGCUAUUUUCAUGGCAGAAAAAGUCCUCUCUCUGUUAUCGAUUCACAGUUUGAAUAAAAGCAACCAUAUUAUAUUACAAAAAUGAAAACUAGAGACAUAACCUAAAGAGAAAAGGUAAAAAGGUACACCAUUAUCAUGGAAUUUUGGAAUAGAAAUACAUAAAAAUCUGGCAGCAUUUGUUAGAUGAUUAUUGCCAAAUUCUAGUAUAUAUUAGUUAGACUGACAUCGAGAGGAAAAAAAAACUGCAAACGCAUGUUCAAAUCCUAAGGAAAAGUAACCUUGUGCUUACAGUUAAAAAAAUAAAUCCAAAUGAUAAGUCAAUGAAAUGCAAUCCAGCAUCAUCUUUUCUUUUCUUGAGAGAGAAAAGCUCACCGUAGUCAAGUUCGUAGAAGUUGAGAUACAAUAUAUGUGUUGUCAAGAAAGCCAGCAAUGGAGCAGCAACCAUAACCCUAGAAGCCUCGUCCUUCACAUUGAAAGUUCGCAGAACGGCCAGAAUGAGUGAGUACCCAACUAAAGCCGCAUUAGAUGAAUGAUACAACUUUUCCGUCAAAUCGGAAACACUGUCGUAAAUAUGUAAGUAACACCAACAUCAGCAAAAAGUGGAAAAGGCAUCAAAUAAUGUGAAAAGGCAGGCUUAAAUCUUCGAGAAAAGAUAACGGAUGAACCCUACCUGCUGUGAUAUAUUGCACUCCAGAACCAUGCGUUCAUUGACAAUAGUCCGUGUAUGUGCCAUAAGCCAGUGAACUCAUAAUAUGUCCUACCACUUGCAGGCCUAAGAGGCAACUUGUAGUAAAGGAGGAGAACAAAGGAUAGCCAACCAUUGAAGUGUAUCAGGAGAGUCAAUGCAGAAAGGACAGCAGAAAGAGGCUCCUAUAUAAAUGAAGAAAAGACAUGGAAAUUAACAUAGGUUAACAUUCAUGUCUAAUAUUUAAAAGGCCUGAUCAAAAAAUUAGUAGAUAAACCCAACCUGAAACACAAAAACCCGCUUAAAAGGCCAUCUCCCAUGAUAUUUGACAGGCCUGAGACCAAGAGAUUCCCUUUCGUUUUCUCUUUGCAGAAUACAAUGGUAUCGACAUUCACUCUUGCAAUUCAAUUCUUUCCACCGCAGGUACAACGGCUCUUGCUUGUACCAUGGAUUGUUGGGCAGUAAGCUAUCGGAUGAAACCUGGCAGUGCUGAAUGGAGACAUCUUGCAGGGUUCCCGUCUUCUCACAUUGGUUGGUACACGUUCUGGCAUCCGGUAAAGAUAAUGUUUGCAAUCAGCAAAAGAAAGCAACAGGUUUCAAUAAGCUGAAAAGCCAAGGAAUAUUGAAAUUCAUAUCCAGCCAUUAACAACAGUAUAUAUCAAGAAAAAUAAAACCCAGUGGCCAAUAGAGACAGACUAUGCAUAACCAGCAUAAAAAGAGGCCACAAGUCUCCACUAACGUUAGAUUGUGAGACUAUUGCAAUAUGACAAACUCCAUUAAUUAUGCUGGAAUGUCCUCAUUAGGGGGUGUCAAACAUGUUCUGGACUCGGAAAAAUACCAGACUCCUAUCAUGACAGCCCUCCAUUUUUCUGCCCUUCCUAACUCUCUUACUCCGCCUGAGCAACAAAAGAAUGCCCAGCCAAAAUAAUAGUGCACCUACAUAAGUUGAUCUAAUACCAUAUGCAAUGUCACUAGCCAGGUAGUAUUAACAACUAGAUGAAACAGACCAUUAACCACCCACUUUGGUCAAGCCUAAUAACUUAUGCUACUACGCUAUGCGCGCGCGCGCGCACACACAUAUAUCUAUACGCAGCAUAUAUAUACACACACAUUUAUUUAUAUGUGUGUGUGUGUAUAUAUAUACACACACACAAGCACAUGUUUAUACACAGCAUAUAUAUAUACACAGAGACAUGUAUAUGUAUAUAUGUGUGUAGAGCGAGGCUACUAUACUCUUAUGAGUAUAGAGCCCUUCAUACUCAUAAGUUAUUUUCAAUGAUGAAGCUAAUCGACGAUCCACACUGUUAAAUAUGAUCUAGAUUAUUUGAAACUUCUAGAAAAUGAAUUUCGUAAUUUUUCAAAAUUAUAAUAAAGUCCAUCAAACGGGCAUAAAAUGAACGGUCAAAAUUGAACGAUUUUCUAAAAAUGGGUAAUUAGAUACUUCAAUUUAAGAUCGGAAUUAUUGAUCUUUAUCUAGAUAGUCAAUAGAAUUUUCUAUCAAAAAUUCAAUCCAUUUAAAUUCUUUUACGCCGUUAAACUAGCAAGUAUUUCAUAUCGGCUGUUUAAAACUGUCAAUUUUGAGAUCUUUUGAUUGUAAGGUAAAUGAUAUCAAAAAAUUACGAAAUUUGAUUUCUAAAAGUCUUACAUGCUCUAAAUAAUAUUUAAUGGUAUGGAUCGUCGAUUCGAAAGCUUUAUCAUUGAAAACGACUUAUAAUUACAAAGGGCUCAAUACUCAUAAGAAUAUAGUAGCCGGACUCCUGUGCGUAUGUGUGUGUGUGUGUGUACAUGCACUUCCUACAAUGAGGUCAGCAAAGAAAAAAGUUCAUGAUGGAUGAAAAUAAACAAUAGUUGAACUUCAACAAGCAAAGGUCAAUCAAAGAAACUAUUCAUGCCAUCAAGCUGAGGAAAUUACUUUUAUGCAAGAAAAAAGCAGAACAUAACGUGCAAGUUAUACCCCUUUGAUCCACAGUGCAGUUUCAUAAUCCGUGUGUUAUACUUGAAAUCCAUCCCAAUAGCUCUCGGAACAUUCUUAUUAGUAUAGUUAUGUGGGAAAAUACUAAGAAUUUUUUGAACUAAUAUUUUUUUUUUGUUUAUUUCUGUACCAAAACUGCUCAUUUAUACGACAUAAAAGUUCAAGUUCAAGGCUAACUAACAGAAGUAUGUUUUCAGAAGCAUCUCAAUUGUUAAGCCAAUUCGAGAAUGCUACAAAAUCAUCCAAUCCUUUUGCACACUAUUACCGGUAAGAAAAAUAUGAAAAUUCAUUGUGUGCUUCAAUGGGCCAGACACAUCUCCAAAAAUGGCCUUAAAUAAAGAAGUACAUGAUUUAGCAGAUCAAUCUGAUCCCAAUCUUUAAGACCACCGAAGUUUAAUCCUGACUCUGCUCACAUAAAUGUUAGAAAGUUGAAUUGGGGCCCUGUUUUUUUUUUUUAUAAAGGUUGAAGAAUAACGUAGCUUGGACUAUGAUUGGGUUUAAGUCAUAAGGCAUCUUUUUUUUUUAGAGAGAAGGGUAGCAAGCUACCAAUUUCAUUCAUUUUUUUAGAAAUAAACUCAACUAGAAAUAUAAAGCAACUGGGGUUCAAAUUUGCGACCUCGAGUACCAACCAUCAACCCGUGAGCCGACCACACAACACAUGGUUGGCCAUAAGGCAACUUUUCAAUCUUGGAGGGCAUCUACAGUUAAUGCUAAAUGCUAUAAGAUCAUAGGAAAGGUCAUACAAGUUUCCACUCCACAUCAUUAUCACAUAAAUGAAGGUAACAAAAAGACAUGACUUCUUGAGGCAAUCUUGGCAAAUAAAAUCCUGAGUGCAGGGAAUCGAUUGAACCAGACAAAAUUAGACCCUUUUCCAAAAGUCAAGUGCAUACAAUUAUGAGCCCCAACAAAUUCCUUUGGAUGCCUUAGAAACAGAGAAUCAAAAUCUCACUAAGCCUACCAUGUUUCCACACUAUGAUGAUCAAACACAGAGGCAUCGCAAAGAGGACAUUUUCGUCUAAAAUGGCAUGAGAUAUGUCGGUUCGUUCUCUAAACAGUAACUACAAGCCAACGUUACAGAAACUUGGAAAGCUCUAAUCCACACUUCCUCAAACCAAAAGGACCAACAUAAUAACGGUAUGAGAGCCAUGGUUCAAAAAAGACGGUACUAUAAAAUAGUGAAUCAAUAAAUCUUGUUGGUACUUCUCAAAGCAAACAGUGAUUACAAUAAUUGAGAGCAUGAGAAUUACAGCCAACUUACAAAACCAAAAAUCCUAAGCCCAACUCCUGCAAUAAAUACCCUAACACCUUUCUCAUGAUUGUUAGAAAUUUACACAUUAAUUAAUAGAUAUUAAUAGGCCCAAACCAAAUAAGUUUAUGCAUUCAGAGACAUGUCACAUCCUUAGAUUUAUUUGGAUCUAUCCUGUGUCGAAACUCCCUACCAAUGAAUUAAGAGGACUUCUCAUCAAAUGCCAAUAGAGAUAUCUAUAUAGAUACCAAAAAGCAAAUUGAUGUGCUUAAUUCUCUUAAAUCCAAUACGAAAUCAACAACAUUUAUAAUCACUACUAUGAAGUAGAAGAACCCAAAUCUAGCUAAAAAUAUGAAAUCUCCAAAUAUUUCCUUAAUUAUACCCUAAUAUUUCACCCUCGGAUCAAAGAUCGAAUUAUUCCUACAUGAAGUGUGGAUUGAAAAAGAACGAAACAACAAAAAACAAACAAACAAAAUAAAAAUAAAAAAUCGGUGGCAUACAUGUAGAGAGGAUCAGCUUCGCCCUCGCUAGCGCGAAUGGCUCCGAAGGCGCAUCCGAGAACGAAGAGAAGCAACAGCGAGCGCUCCCCCAUGGCGUUCAAAUGCGGAGAUGCUCCUCUCUACGAUGAGAUGAAAUCCAUUACCGGAGCGAGAACCCUAAUCGAAAUCGCCGCGAAGAGGAGGGAGACGAAGAGAAGAUCGAGGGGAGAGCUCGUUAAGGGUUUUUAGAGAUUUGGGGGAUUACUGAGUGAGGGGGGAGACUCGAUGAGAAUGAAGAGGAUGGGGCAUAUCGACAGGACCUUGUAUAAUAAGAAAGAACUGAAAAAUAUAUGAAGACCCCCUCAACUACAAAAUAUUUGGAAAUGAGACCUUCAACUUUCCUACCUGUAUACACGAAAAGUGAAUACAAAUUUUGGCUAAUAUUUUAUAAUUAUCUUAUCAACUUUAUUUUUUCUAAAUAAUUAAAAAUUUUUAGAAAUUUAUUUAGGAUGUAAAAUGUAUAUCAACUUUUUACGCAUAGAGAUAGUAUUUUCUUUAUUUUGUUGACACUUUUUUAUCUUUCAUAUUUUGAAGAUUAAUUUUUUCAUUAUAAUUAAUUAAGAUAAAGUUUUUUGUUGAUUUUGUGAUUUAAUUAGUUAUUACUAGCUAAUCAAUCUAGUUUUAUUUGUCACAAAGUUAUUUAAACUAUUAAAUUUGGAUUAAAUUGGUAGAAAUUUUAAAUUAUUUGGCUAAAAUUGCUUAAUCUUUUAAAAAAUGAAUUUAAUAUUGUUUAGGGGGGUCUCCACAUAUUUCCUACCAAUAUUUCUUUUUUGAACUAUAACAUACAUUCCAUUUUAAAUCCAAUCCGUUAAAAAUAUAUAUAUAUUAUAUUUUAAUCUUAUUUAAAAUAUGUUGAAAUUAAAUAGGUAUUUUUCAUAUUAAUAAAAAGGUCGCAUUGAAACUAUUUUUUAUGGUAAAAAACUAAAACAUAAUAUGCGCAAAAACUUAUAAAAAUAAAAUAUUCACAUGGCUAGCACUCUCACUCUCCCCGAGUUUAAGUUUCACGAGCGUAGAAGUUAGUUCAAAAAAAUAAUUUUUACGUAGUUGUAAUAUCAACAUAUGUUAGGGACUAUUCAUAAAUUUUACCCUGCCUCCGUUUUGGUCCUUUUUGUUAAGAAAAAAUUUCCUUUACUUUUUAUUUUUUGGCUCCAUUAUUUAGAACCGCGAGACGCGUGGAGAGUUAUUUAUUGUAUUUUAUUUACUUAUUUAUUUAUUUAUUCCGAUUUAAAUGUUUUAUUAAAGUGCACGCACUUUCACCGACACCCACUUCUGAGCCUUUAAUAAUGUCAGAGAGUGUUGUUAGUGUUAGUACUACUCAGUAUUUUUGUGUGGUAAGAGAUGUGCUUUUUAUUAAUUAAAUAUUUAUAUAAUAUUAUUAAAUAAUAUAUAUAUAUAUAUAUAUAUAUAUAUAUAUAUAUAUAUAUAUAUAUAUAUAUAUAUAUUAGUGUUAGGAGUUUUAUGAUUUUAGAAUUGCUGCUCGAUUUAAGGGUUAUUUACGGGAGUACCCUCCCCAGUUCCCGGGACCACAAGAGAUAUUUAAUUGUAUCUCAAGUACACCAACGUAAACGGCCAGUGGUUGCGUGGACCCGGUGCACCACAUCAACAAUGUGUAAAUUAUAAAUAUCCCGGACGCUUGGGUUCUCGUUUUAAUUAUUUUCUUACAUAACACUUUGCUUCGGGCUAAACUCUACACUUCGUAAUUACGUCAAAUAAGCAAAAAAAUUUUUAUGGUUGCUAAAUUUGGGUGUAAAACUAUAUGAAAAUUAUCACGUGAAUCAAAUAAAAUAGUCUAUAAAUGGUCAAAAAAUUUGUUUUGUUGAAUUUAGAUCAUUAUAUAGCUUAUAAUUUAAUGUGGCAUGUUAAAUUAUUCCAAUAGACGAUGACAUUCAAUNUUCGACAUAGUUUACUUUAUGAUCAAAUUAUUUCAAAAUUGUCAAUUUUUAAUGACUACUAUGGCGAAUUUGGAGUUCAACGGUGUAGAAGAAUCUAAAUUUUUUUUCAAAUUUUGAUAGAAAAUACUUUAAACUAUCUAGAUUAAGGUUAAUAUUUUUUGAUCUUGAAUUUAAAAGUCAUAUACUCAAAUUUUAAAGAUUAUUCAAUUUUCACCAUCCAUUUUGACAUAAUUUAUUUACUAAGUAAACGAUGUCGAAAAAAAUUAAAAUUUUAUUCCUAAGAACUUCAUAUACCCUAGAUCAUAUUUAACGGUGUGGAUCGUUAAUUUGAAUACCUUAAAAUCGAAAAAAAGACUAUAGUACCGGAGCUCCGGUACCAUAGAUAGCAUAGUAGCUUAAUUAUAUAUAUAUAUAUAUAUAUAUAUUAGUGUUUAGAGUUUUAUGAUUUUAGAAAUUGGUGCUCGAUUUAAGGGUUAUUUACGGGAGUACCCUCCCCAGUUCCCGGGACCACAAGAGAUAUUUAAUUGUAUCUCAAGUACACCAUCUUAAACGGCCAGUGGUUGCAUGGACCCGGUGCACCACAUCAACAAUGUGUAAAUUAUAAAUACCCCGGACGCUUUGGUUCUCGUUUUAAUUAUUUUCUUACAUAACAUUUUGCUUCAGGCUAAACUCUACACUUCGUAAUUAAUUCAAAUAAGCAAAAAAUUUUUAUGGUCGCUAAAUUUGGGUGUAAAACUAUAUGAAAAUUAUCACGUGAAUCAAGUAAAAUAGUCUAUAAAUGGUCAAAAAAUUUGUUUUAUUGAACUUAGAUCAUUAUAUAGCUUAUAAUUUAAUAUGGUAUGUUAAAUUAUUCCAAUAGACGAUGACAUUCAAUAGUCCCAUAUCGAAUGAAAAUAAAAUUUUAAUUAAUUAUAUAAGAGACUAUAUAUCCUACUAAUAAUAGCUGAAUUUAAUAAUUUAAGACCCAUGGUUAGUCCCCAAAUAAGUUAUUAUUGUUACUGGAUAUCGUCUGAAAUUUAAUAAUCGUUUCAAAUAUUCAGAUUUGUUUGAAAUAGUGGUAAACUUCAAAGUUCAAAUCAAAAGUAAUUGAGAUGCUUAAAGUACAAGAUAGGGCUAUGUAAUUCCGAAAAUUUUAUUAUAUAUUUCUAAACUAUCUAUUUAAAGAAAAAUAAGUAAUAAAUACGAUAAUAUUGUAUUAUAUCAUUAUGCUUAGAAGUAUAUUUAAAAUUUUUUGAAUAGUUUAUUUUGUAAAUUUUUUACUGUUUUCAAUGAGUAUAUAUUAACCAAUUUAUUAUAAUAUAUUAUAAUAUAUAUAUAUANAAUAUAAUAUAAUAUAAUAUAUAUAUAUAUAUAAUAUUAUAUAAUAUUUUUUAAAAAUAAAUUAAAUUAUUUGGUUUAUUCUGUGAAUCCAAUGGGAACCUUAGAAGCUCGGUUUACGGCGAACCGGGUUCAGCGCACAAUUGCUCGGCGCGAAAAAGGGACGCGUGGAUAGCGGCUUUAAAGUGGGGCCCACCGAGGACACGUGGCAUAAAAGAGCAACGUGUGGUGGGACCCAUCUAAGCACAUGGCCUUUUGAAGUACCGGUAAUGAUAUAUCGUAUUUGUGAAACGCGUGAGUGGUAGUUGUUCCGUGAAAAUACUUCGACAACGAUAUGUAACUUUUGCGGGAAAAAGUUACAUGUAACCCCGUGCCCACUAAAUUUUAAAAAUAAUUAAUUAGCUAUAAUAAUGUUAAAAUAUACUGUAAUUAAUCAAAAUUUUAUUUAUUUAUAAAUUAUUGAUAGUUGUAUUUGCUAUUUAUUAUUGAGUUAAAAUAUGUCUAACAUUUUGUUUUAUAGUGCGGCUCACAAAAGAUCUAACGGCAAAAGACCUAACUAUAUUGAAUCAGGUUGAAACCAUAAAGCAUUAUGGUUGAGCCCUUAAGUGCAAUGGCUGCACCUUUUCUAUCAGCGCGUCUUUUUGAGAUAAUUGGUUAGCGUUUACGAUCCACAAAUUGCUCGAACUUCUAAAAUUUUAUAAUUAUUGUACAAUAUUUUGUGAGAAUUUAUAAUUGAUCAAAUUCAUAUUUUAUCAAGUUAAACUGAUUAAAAUUACUCAUUAAUCAAAAAAAAAGUAAAGAAUAAUACAUGCUACCAAUUUAGAUGAGUCAUUUAAAUGUCAAAAUUUUUUUGGUGAAUAAAAUUAGUCAUAAUUAUCCUAUUUCAUUUGUAAAACUCAAAUGCUAAAAUCUACAAAUUUAGAUGAGUCCUCUCAAUGUCAAAAAUUAUUUUGGUGGAUAAAAUUAGCCAUAAUUGGUCAAUUUAAAUUAAAAUUAGCCUCUCAAUUAAAAUUAUUUUUAAUUUGUAGAGCUCAAAUACUAAUAUCUAGUUUUAUGCUGUAAAACUGAAUUUUGACGUCAAAAUAAUUCUUUCGAAUUGCCAGCAUAUACUUUUUAUUAUUUUUUUAUCAUUUGGCUAAAAUUAGUCAAUCGAAAUUAUAUAAAUGUAAAUUUUGAUUCUCAGCUGCAAAACUUUGAAAAUUUACAUGAAAAAUAUAGAAUUUUGAAAGCUUGAGUCGCUACUUGAACAAGCAAGAGUUUGGAUUACUGUAAAUAAUAUUGUUAAUCUCCAAAUUUUUAACAAAAUCUUAUUUUAAUUAACCGUUGAAUUCCAAUUUGUUAUAUUAUUUAAAUUGGUUUAAGUGUAUAGAUGGUGUUUUUCGUUUCCAAAUUAUUAGUAUUCUACCUUAUAUUAUUUGCGGAGAUUAUUUUAAUUAUUACAUUAGAAAUCACAUGGCCUUGAAACAAUAAAUUAACAGUCAUGGUCACCUUUAAAAAGUAAUAUAAUAAUUAUGUUUAGCUAUUUCGUUGUCACUUUAAUUAAAAAUUAUAUAAAUUUUUAUAAGAGAACUUGAUAAUAAUAAAAAGCUAAAUUUAGGCCUCCUAAGGUAUUAUUAUUCAUUUUUAUUUUUAUAUAUAUAUUUUUUAUAUGAAAUAAUAUAUUAGAAAAUGACAGUUUGCUUUUAUUCCUGAUAUUUAUGAUAUUUAUUUGACAAUAAAAAAAUGUGGACGUACAUAACUUUUCUCUACUUCUAUUUUUUAAGCAAAUUUUUAUUCAUUACUUGCCCGGAUUUAUUGCGAACUAACAAACCGUGAAGAGAAGAUAGAAUUUCUUUUGUUAAUAUAUCAAAGUGUAUAAAAUUAGAAUUUUAAAAAAGGUAAACUUUAAUUUUCUUUCGUGUGAUUUAGCUAAUUUUUACUUUACCACUAUGUGAUUUAAAAAAAUAUGACUAUCUCGUUGUUUUAUUUUUAUUUUAUCAAAAAAAAAAAUACUACCAAAUAGGAGAAUAAAAUGAUUUUUUUUUAAAAAAAACUAGAUGAUAGUUAAAAAUCUCGAAGUCCAUUCAAAGCUGAAGUGUUUGAAUCUUUCAGUAAAAGUCCAUAGCUUCGUAAUUAUUGUUCGAGCUUUAGAUGUUAGCGAAUCUGAAUGAUAACUCUUGAGGUGUUAAGCUUUAAUGAUGAAGGCUGAAUCUGAGAAGAUAUGAAAAAUUUUUUCAGAAUACAUUUGCAAAAGAAGCUCUAUCGGUGGGGAGAUUGCUCUAAUUUUCGUGAAGCAAGUAUCGUGGACUACCUGUAUUGUGUCAAAUAUGCACGCUAUGGUUCCAUGUUGAUUAGUAAUCAGGCAUCGUGGAUUUUCAGAUCAGAGUUGGGUCCUGGAUGCUGAUUCUUGUCAUGUUCUAGUUGGAAUAUAAGGCCAUCCAACUGCGAGCCCUUGAAAUGAUAUUAAUGAUUAAGAAAUUCUUCCUCUCAAAAAUCACUUUAUACUGACUAUGGCCCUGUUUGGCUUAGCUUCUGAAAAAGUGAUUUCUGAAAAAGUGAUUUUAGUUUGGAAAAGUGAUUUCUGUUAAAAGCUGUAGAGCGUUUGGCUGAGUCUGAUAGAAAAGUGAUUAUGCUGAAGUGAUUUUAGAAAGCUGUUUGGCAAAUUUUUUUACUGAAGUGAUUUUGUAAUGUUAUUUAACAUUAGUUUUUUUUAUAGACACAAUACAGUAAUUCAAAUCCUCAACCUUAAUUUAGUUUCAGAAAAUCCAUAUAUUAAUCUUGUGGAGAACCCUAUAAUGCCAUUGUUGUUCUUUUUUUAACUUAAAGAUCAUGCUCAUUUCUGAUAAUUAACAUGCCUGCUAAAGGUAGAGAUCAUGUAUUCGAUUCUUCAUAAUUUUUGGGAUAUUUUGGAAACUAUUAUGAGGGAUUAAACUUUUCACAAGCUUCAUGUGAGAUGGACCCAUCGGCGCUGAUCCGGCCAAGUCGGCGGGAUCCAUCUUUGCCGGAUCUUGCCGGCGUGAUCCAUGCCCAGAUCCGGCUCAAAGGCGGAUCCGAGGCUGGAUCCGGCAAAGCCGGAGCUCGCCAGCGCGGAUCCGGCCAAGCCGGCGGGAUCCGUCUUUGCCGGAUCACGCCGACGCGGAUCUGGGGCCGGAUCUGGGGCCGGGCGCGGAUUAAGGAGAGAAAUCAAGAGAGAGAGGGAGAUAAAUCCACAUGAAAAAAAAAACUCUUCUUGGAAAAAAAAAAGGGAGUAUCUUGGAGGGUUGCCGGAGAAAAAACUCGCCGGUAGAAAAGGCGUCGCCGGAGAGGAUAAAGGGAGAGAGAUGAAGAAGACAGGAGAGGAGAGUGAUUAGAUAAAGAAGAGAGGAGAGGAGAGUGUUUUUUUUUUUUUUUGGGGGAGUGAGUGGUUGGCUGUGAGUAAUGGGAGAGUAAUGGGAGAGAUAUUAUUAAUUAUAAAAGGAUAUAAUAGAAUUGUACUGUUUGUUUAAGGGUAAUUUCGGUAUUUUAGUAAAAAAAAUUUAAGUGGGGAAACAGCUUGUGCGGGAAUUUGUUUUGAAAAGCAGAUUUUUUCAGCUUCUGCUUUUGGGAGAAGCAGAAUCAGUUUUUAGCUUUUAGAAAGCAGAAUCAGAUUUUUCAAAUACCUUACCAAACACUCUAGCUUGGCCUAAAAAUGAUUUUCAGCUGAAAAUCACUUUGGAAUAGCUUGGCCAAACAGGGCCUAUGUCUAGUGCAAGUGGCAAAGGAUUGAUCCUUGGUACCUAAGGUCUCUGGUUCGAAGUAUAAUUGUUUCACAUUUCUAGCUAAGUUUUUUUUUUAAAAAAAAAUAAUAAAUGAAGCGAGUAGCAUGCUACCUUUCUUAAAAAAAAAAAAAAUCAUUUCAUUCCUACCCUUCCACAAGCUCCAUAACAGAUGAAUGCAAAAGCCUUAUGAGUCUCUAUGAUUUUGUUAAUGUAAAAAUAAUACAAUAUCGUAAUGAUUCAUGCAUCAUCAAUCACAAUACUAUUAUAUUACAUUUACAUUACCGAUAUAUUUACAUAAAUAGGAUGUUAUAUUAUUUUAUAUUAACGAUAUGUUAAAAUUUAGCUAACUAAAUUAGGUUAUAAAAUUUGAUUACAAUAAUUUUGAAAGUUCGAGUCAAAAUUAUAAUAAAUAAAGUUUGAGGAGCAAAAUGUCACAUACAAUACUAUUGCUCUUUUUUAAUUCUUUUAAAUACUAGUUAUAUAUAAUUUGAGAUACUAAUGAAGAAUUUUUUUUCUUUUUUUUCCUUCGUUAGUUUGCAAUUGCAUUAUGGCUAAUUGAUGAUGACAACUUAUUUUUAAAAAUGUAGAAGCAAGAAAUAAAUAUUUUUUAAUUUUAGUUUUUAGCGCGAAUAAAUCUUUCAUAUGAUGAAUUGUAAGCAACUCUCCUCUUUUUAUAAAAACAGCAAUGCUAAACGAUAUCUUAAUGUGCAAUAAAAAUUAAUUAACAAAAGGAUGCAUGAGUAAAUAGUACAUAAAAUUUAAGUGGUGAUUUUUUAAUGACGUUUUAUUGGGGAACCUUUGAUCUGCUGUUGUGUUAGUUUACCUCCAUUCAAAAAUUCAUUAGCUAUUUUUUACUGCUAAAAUUUAAAAAUCAAAUUUAAACUAUAAAAAAAAAUUGUAAUGUUUAAAUAGAAAUAAAAUUGAUUCAUGAUAUUGAGCUAGAACUUUUUAAUAAAAUGUGGUUGGAAAGAUCCCACUGAAUUUUUUCUGCAGCAAUGGUCAAAGAGGAGGGAGAGAAGAGAGCAGGUGAAUGUCUUUUCCUGGUUCUGUUUUGAGCACUUAUUACAGUGUCAAAGUACAGUUCUUAUAAUUCAAAUUUGUCUCCAAUCAUGUUGGACCCAGAAAAGUGAAUUCAAUCAAUUAGCUGUAGCAACUUUUGACUUUCUAGUUUGGCUCAUUUAAGAGGGUUGAAAAAAAUAAAAAACUCAGAUCUGAUUCAUACAAAAAAGUCUAAAAUGUUAGUUAUAUAUCUAGUGUGGCGUGCCUUAACCAAUCAUAAUUCUUCUUUAAAUUUAUCCAUUUUAUCAUAAUUUAUAAAAAAAUUAUUUGUGUUGUAUAUUUCUCUCAAAAGGAUGUAUUUGAUUGGUUGGAUAUAGCUGAUGUGAUGUGACUGCUACACAGAAAAUUUUUUCUUCUUAUUUAGACAUUAGAAUAAGUUAUUCAGUUAUAGCUUAGUAUAAAAUUAUUUUAGAUAAUUUUUUAAGAAGUAAAAGAUUGAUUCUGUUUUGUUUCUUAAAUGAUUUUGGCAUUUAUGAUUUAAUAUAAUAACAUAUUUUACCUAUUAAUUUAGUUUUUCUAAAAAUAUGAAUUGGCGAUUGAAAAUGCUAUUUCAUUUUAAACGUUUGAUCACACUCUUAACUUUCCAUCACAAUAGAAAAUCUCCAUUCCAAAGGAGGUUUCUUUUUACAAUUUAUUUUCACAUUCAAACGUUGUUCUGGUUCAACAAUAAAUUAUUUUUAUUUUAUUUCUGAUAUAGGUACAAAGAAGUAAAUUUAAUUUUGCAUUUGUUUAUGAAUUGAGUUAUUUUGAAGAAUAAGUAAAAAAAUAAAAUUUGAAUGAUAGAUUAGAAUAAUGAAAGUAUGAAUAAUUAUAUAAUUUUGAAAUAAAACUAUUUUACCCAAUUCAUAAAUAUCAAAUAAUAAUAAGAUGAAAUUUAAUAUAUUAAAUAAUUAAUUAACAAUGAACACUAUGGCCCCGUUUGGAUACCUCUAAAAACGUAGUAUAGUUAAACUAUACUAUGCCGGUAGGAAAAUAAUCCUAUGAAGCGUUUAGAAGAAAAAAAAUAACGUAAUUCCACCAUUUUGGGCUCUCAAAGAUGUAUCAAUUUCUAAAUUUUAAAUUUCAACAUAAAAUUUUAAAUUUCAAAAUUUUAAAUUUUAAAAUUCAAUUUUAAUUUUGAUUUUAAAUUUCAAAUUUUAAAUUUCAAAUUUCAAAUUUCAAAAAGUUCAAAUAUCAAAUAUCAAAUUUCAAAUUUCAAAUUUCAAAAAGUUCAAAUUUCAAAUUUCAAACUUCAAAUUUCAAAUUUCAAAUUUCAAAUUUCAACUUUCAAAUUUCAACUUUCAAAUUUCAAAUUUCAAAUUUCAAAUUUCAAAAAGUUCAAAUUUCAAAUUUCAAAUUUUAAAAAGUUCAAAUUUCAAAUUUCAAAUUUCAAAUUUUAAUUUAAUUUUUAAUUUUUAAUUUUCAAUUUUCAAAAUUUAAAUUUAAACUUUAAAUUUAAAUUUUAAAUUUAUAAAUAUGUAAAUUUAUAAAUUAUUAAAUUUAAAAUUUAAAAUUUUAAUUAUAGAUUUUUUAAAUUUCAAAUUUUAAUGUUUAAAUGGUAUACUUUAAAUUUUAAAAUUUAAAGUUUCAAAUUUCAAAUUUUAAAUUUCAAAUUCCAAAUUUCAAAUUCCAAAUUUCAAAUUUCAAAUUUAAAACAUAAAAUCUAAUUUAAUUUUUUAAUUUUAAAUUUUAAAUUUUAAUUUUAUAUUUUGAAUUUUGAAUUUUAAUUUUUAAAAUUUUAUUUUUAAAUUUUGAAUUUUGAAUUUUGAAUUUUAAAAUUUUAGAAAUUUAAUUGUCACAAAUACUGUGAAAUUGUAUGAUCUUUAUCCAAACAGCUUAAAAAUGAAGUUGUGAAAUAUUUUUGUAAUUACAGGAUUCCAUAUUUCAUUUAGACCAAAAUUAUAGAAUAAAAAUUCCAUAAAAUUUUUUAACUAUGCAUCCAAAUAGGGCCUAAAUAAGAUAAUAGAGAAGCACAUAACGUGAAUCAAACGGACCCUAAGAAUAUCAGUACCAUAUUAAAUAUAGAAUCAUUAGAUCUAUGUUAACACUUUCUCUUUUUAUCAGUUUACACUUUUAUGUUGGAUUCUAAUCAUUUAAUAAUUAUGUCAAUUUUUCAACGAGUAUCUUUUCAUAUACUUAUAAAAUUUGCUUAAUUUAUUUCUAAAAACUGUCAUGUUCAGCAUUAAAGUUUUCCUACUAUUCACAAAGAUAAAAAAAAAAAAAAAAAGGAAAAAAACAGGAAACAUCAUCUCUGGUACCAAACCAUUUGACUUCUUAAGCUUCAUCGGUCUAAUUAUUAUUUUGUACUUGCACAUUAUUACUAUUUUUUCUUUUUUUUUAAUACCAGUACAUUAUUAAUUAAUUAGUUGGCAAGUCAUAUAUACUAGCUAUAAAAAGGUGCAAACAAAAUUUUGACCAGAACCACCAAUGAAAAAUUAGAGAUCAUAUUAAACUACAUUAAUAUAUGCUUGUAUUGCCCUAACAUGCAUUUGCUUAUUCAAACCUAACAUAAUCCACAAUCAACAGGAAAUGUGUUUGAUAAAAACUACUAUAUAUAUAGGGUUAAUUGUAUACAGCUCCUUGUAAAUAUAUCGAAUAGCAAAUAUAUCCCUACAAAGUUUAAAUUUUCAUAUUUAUCCAUGUAAAAGUUCUAAUAAUUUCAAAUAUACCCCCGUUGUUAGGAUCUGCUAAAAAUAUAUAAUUUACCAUAGUAAAAUAUUUAAUCCCGAUUAGUGAAUGAGGUAAUUAAUCUUUGUACCCCUCUUAUGUUAUUUGUGAUGAUAGAAAAGAUGAAAAUGACGUACCAUUGGAGAUUUUUGGAAGGAUAUUUCUUCAUAAUUCUAAUACUCGGAACCUUUGGAGGAACAUAUUUGUGAUGAUAAAAAUAUCAUUUUAUUUAACUUUUUUUAAAAAAUAAACAAUGCUCUAACGGUAAGAAACCAUAAGGCCAAAUAUGAAUAUCACUGGACUUUUAUAGGAACAAAUAUAAAUAGUUGAAUUUUAUAAGGAUAUAUUUAUUAUUCAAUAUGGUUAUAGGAAGUUAUAUAAAAUGAAACCUACAUAAUAACUUCAUAAUAGAAUCUAAAUGUAAAAUUACGGUCAUUCUAGUUUACACCAUAUCUCUUGUUUUUGAAAUAAUAAAAAUUACUUUCCAUAAUUUAGUUCCCAAACUAGUCGAGAACGGUUUUGGAUUUUUGAAAAUUCGUCCCGAAUCCGCCCCGUUGACAUUUCUAUCCUUAUGUGAAAUGGGACUAGUAAGUUGGAGCAAUUCUCCCUUCUUUUUUUUGAGGGAAAACAAAGGCGAUUUUAUUUAAUUAAUUAGUGGAUACAAAACUGAGAAAAUUCAUCAAUAGAAGACCAGAAAGAAAGCUUUUUUCUUGUGAGUCCCCAAGUGGCUAAGCGAUUCGCGACUAUAGUAUAUUUAGAAAAUCUCAAAUUCCAUCCGGAGUUGGAGCAAUUCUCUCUAACUUCACUGGAUUUCGUCCAUGCACCAACAUUUACUUCUGCGUCACUUUCCGCGAUGGACAUCCAAAUUAAGUAUUGACAAGAUUAAACAUAGUUUAAGAUUAUUGAAAUUUUUUAGGAACCAAUUUUGUAAAUUUUUUUUACAUUACUCGUCUUCUAUUCGAGGGAUUUCAAAUGAUAGUGUUAACAAUUAUUCGAAAGUGAGUUUAAGACCACUUGAUUAUUAAGCAAAAAAUAUCAAAAAAUUAUAAAAUUUGGUUUCAAUGCUCAAAUAGGUUCAAUUGUAUUUAAUAAUACCGAUCGUCAAUUCAGAUACUUACCGUUUAAUUAAGAUAAUGUAGAUGUAAACAAUGCCGUAUUCUAAUUGUACUUUUAUAUUCAUUUUAGGGUAAACUUCAAUUUGCCCCUGUAUGGUUUAAUCUAUUUUGGCUAUACUGUUGCUCAAAAAGUUGCAUUUAGCUAUCAUGUAUUUUUAUUUUAUUUCGCUGAAAAAUUCUGUAGCCAAAUAGAAUAACAGAGUUUUUUUUUUGAAAACUACACGAUAGUAUCGUAUUUACCGAUAGGCAAAAUAAAAAUAAUAUCAUAAACUAGUUAACUAUAACUUUUUGAAUCCCAGAAUGACAAAGUAAAAAAUGUGCUAACUAAUAGAAUAAUUAAGUAUAAUUUUUUUGCACCAUGAGAUGACCAAAUAAGAUAUGCAAAACCUAAAGGUUAUUGAAUUUUUUUUGCCCUUCUUUUUAUUAUUAUAAGGUUAUUGAAUUUUUUUUUUAAAAGAAAAUAGCAAGUUAUCCAUUUCAUUUACUAAAGAAAUUAAUUUUGCUACAUAUAUAAAGUAACUAGACCUCAGAACCCAGGAAAAAAAGAAAAAGAAAAAAAAAUCAAAGUCCCACACAAAAAUAAAAUAAAAUAAAAUAAAAAAUAAUCACAUCAUCCAAACAAUUUACCUCAGUAUUUAAAGGUGGGAAAUCUUCGGCUCUGCUGCCGGCAAUGAAUAGGAAGGCCAAGCAACGAGAGGGUGUGGAUGGUAGUGGGGACGCUCUACCAGUCAAGGUGCUCAUCCGCAAGAGCCGACUCGGCGGAGUGGAUUUGGGUGAUGCCGAAGUGAAGGCCUUCGACGACUUUUUGAGCAAGCAUAGGGGGGGUUUGUACGUGCAGGAUUGAUGGCACCUUUUUGGGGAGUGUGAUGGUGUCUUUUGGUUUUAUUUUAUGAUUGGAGUCUGUAGUUGGAAUGUUAGAGGGCUUAACAACCUCUCUAAGCGUAACGCCGUUAGGACGGUUAUUUCUAAGUUUUGUAAUGUGGUAGUGUGCUUGCAAGAGUCUAAGGUGGAUUUUGUAUCCAGAUCCUUUUUGCAUAGUAUUGGCGGAUCCUUCCUUAACAAAUGUGUCUAUCUCGAAUCGGACGACGCUUUUGGAGGAGUUAUCACGUGUUGGAACUCGCGUUUUUUCCUUGGCCAUGACGUCCUAGUGAGAAAAUAUUCGGUGACCGUCCUUCUUUCGCACAUCAAGUCCGGAAAAAAUUUUUACGUCACGAAUGUCUAUGGACCGACAACGUGGGAUGGGAAGGAGGAAUUUUUUGCGGAAGUAAUGCAGUUGAGAACGCAUUGUGAGGGAAGCUGGAUCAUCUGUGGCAAUUUUAACAAUAUUAGGAGACAAGAGGAGCGAAAGGGGAAGACCUGGAGUGCGAAAGCCAUGGAUAUGUUUAACUCACUUAUAAGAGACUUAGCACUAAUAGAUCCACCUAUGACGAAUCAAUCUUUUACGUGGUCGAAUAUGCAAAAAAACCCGACCCUUGCGAGACUCGAUCAUUUCCUAUUAUUAACGGAGUGGGAUCAGGAUUUUCCUUUUUCGAAGGUUGUUGCUCUCCCUCGUGUCACUUCUGACCACUGCCCUAUUCUUCUCCCUCGUGUCACUUCUGACCACUGCCCUAUUCUUCUGACGGUUGAGAGGGGAUACAAGGGGGGGGGGGGAAUCUUUCGAUUCGAGGAAGGGUGGCUCAACCAUGAGGGCUUUCUUACCAAAGUACCUGGAUGGUGGAACGAAGGGGAUUCUAAAAGCUCUGCUGUGCUGACCAUUACAGCGAAGUUGAGGCAUUGCCGAAAAAGGAUUAAGGAAUGGUGCAAAAAUGAGUUUUACAGUGUUAGAGGGCAAAAGGAUUUCAUCAUGGGUGAGAUUCACCGAAUUGAUCAAGCGGAGGAACAUAGCACACUUUCAAAGGAAUGGGUAGCGAAAAGAGAAGAUCUGAAAGUAAAAUUAAGAGGCGUAUUAAAUGACGAAGCGUCCUUGUGGAGAGCCAGGGCUAAUCAGCAUUGGUUACGCGAGGGAGACAGUAACACGAUAUACUUCCAUAGUAUAGCUAAUGGAAGAAGACGAGCUAAUGGGGUAGGGGUUGUUGCGGAUAACGGGCGAGUUUAUCAAACUGAGGAGGAUAAGAAGGAAUACUUUUUUGGUAAAUUUAAAGAGCUCUUUAUGGCGGACGACAAGGCCCCACAUUUUUUCGGGGAUUGGAGUAGACUGUUUACCACAAAUCGGGUUUCGGACCCGAUGCACAAGCGGCUUACUGAGAGGUUCAGCAACGGCGAAAUUAAGGAAGCGGUGUUCCAAUUGGGAUCUAAUAAAGCUCCGGGCCCGGAUGGAUUCCUACUACGUUUCUACCAAACAUUCUAGGAUACCGUCAAAGGAGAUCUACUAUUAUUGUUCCAAGAAUUGUAUGAGGGCAGGGUGUCCACUGCCCCCUUCGACUACUCCUUUAUAUGCCUAAUCCCUAAGAAGGAAGGAGCGGAGAGAGCAAACGACUUUCGACCUAUCAGUCUCAUUAACGGAAUACAAAAGAUCAUAUCGAAGGUACUGGCUAAUCGCCUUGCUGUAGUGAUGAACGAGCUAAUUUCACCCUCUCAAUCGGCGUUCUUGAAAGGGAGAAAUAUAACGGAUGCUUAUGCCACCGUCUCGGAAUUAAUAAGGUGGGGUAGUAAAACGGUGACUGAGGGGGUUGGCAUUAAAGUGGAUUUUGAAAAGGCUUAUGAUAGGAUUCAUUGGCCUUCUAUUCAGAAUUCUCCAGUGGUGGGGAUUUGAUGCGAAAUGGUGUGAAUGGAUUAAAAAGUGUGUGUGCAACGCUAAAGUUGCCAUCUUGGUUAACGGAGAGGCGACUAACUGGAUCAAAACUAAGAGGGAGGUGCGGCAAGGGGACCCAUUAUCACCAUUCUUGUUUUUGUUGGUGGCGGAGUGUCUCGCCAGACUGACCGUCGAGGCCAUUGAUAACAACCUCUUGAAGGGUGUUGGUCCUUCCGAUGAGAGUUUAACGGCACUCACAUAGUUUGCGGAUGAUACUUUCUUUUUCUCGGUGGCUCGAAAAAGAUAUAUCCGAAACCUUAGACUGAUGUGGAACCUUUUCGAGUGGGCUUUAGGUUUGAAAAUCAACAGGGAUAAGUCGGAGCUCUACUAUUUCAAAGGGAGGGCAAAGCAGCACGACUUGCCAAAUUGAUAGACUGCAGUGUGGGCUUUCUUCCCACCACCUAUCUUGGAUUCCCCCUCUUCCCAAAACCACCCACGAAGGAGGCAUGGACAGGGUAAUUCAGAAAAUACAGAAUAGAAUAGAGGGAUGGCAUGCCAAACUCCUCUCAAGAGGAGGUAGACUUAUCCUGGUCAACGCUGUGCUUACUAACCUCCCUCUUUACUUUCCGUCAGUGUUUUAGGCACCCAGUUGGGUGAUUAAACGUAUAGAAGCCUUACGCAGAGACUUCUUCUGGAGUGGACAAAGCAACUUCUCGGGCAAGGGGUGCCUAAUCGCAUGGAAGAACGUCUGUGUGAGUAAAAAGGCAGGGGGAUUAGGCAUUCUGAAUGUAGCGAGCAUGAAUCGGGCACUCCUAGUUAAAUGGUGGUGGAGGUUUCGCACUGCACCCCAACUACAGUGGACUAAGAUUAUUCAUGCGCUUUUCUACAAAAGAAAAAAGCCCCUGAGGGAAGGUAAAUACUUCAGACCACACUCACACUGGUGGAAAGGUGUCUUAACUACUAAGGAAAUCUUCAAAUGGGGAAUCUACUAUAAACUAGGGAAUGGGAGCUCUAUUGAUUUUUGGAAGGAUAGAUGGUGUGGGGAGAAGACAUUUCAAAGAUCCUUUCCGGAGGUGUAUGGUUAAGAGGUAGUAAAUCAAUCACGGUUAGGGAUUGCUUUGGAAGUGAGGAUUGGAAUUGGACUACGAUCCUGGGUGAUGAGGCUACUGGUUUGCCUGGCCUGAGCCCAUCUAUUUCGAAAAUCAAAGAGAAGGUUAACAGCUAUCACUUAAGACACAGUUUGGACAUGAUAGGGUGGAGAUGGGGGGAGCAAUGGAACAUUCUCUGUCAAAUAGAUCUAUAGAAUGUUAAAUGAUGGAGGUAGGAGAGACGGACGUGUUAACAAGAUCUGGAGACUCCGCAUACCACUCAAGGUCAAAGUGUUCUGUUGGCUUGUCCUAAAGAAAAGAGCUCCUACAGCAGAGAACCUCAUAAAGAGAGGGUGGACUGGAGACACGACCUGCAUGUUGUGCAGGAUAUAUGAUGAGAUAGUGGACCAUUUAUUCACCCAAUGUAUCUUCACUAAGUUUUUUAUUGUAAUGGGCCUCGAGGAUGUCCAGGCAGGGGAGUUGGGAGGUGAUGUGAACGUAGUCUAGAAUGGGUGAAGGGGGGGGGGGGGGGGACGGUGGGCCAGAAUAGGAGUAAGGGACUAGCCGAGUUAGUCACAUGUUGGUAGAGUAUUUGGAAGGCCAGGAACAACCUUAUUUUUCGCGACAUUCAGCUGGACCCUGUUUUAGCAGUGCAUAGGCUCAAGCAGCUGAUCACUUCUGAAAUGACCUUCUAUGAUUGAUUGAUCUUUUUUUCUUUUUUUCUUUUUUUUUUUUUGUACUUGCUGGUGACUCAAGGCCCUAGUUGCCUCACCCUUAUAGCCGAAUUCACCCUUUCAAUGAAUGAAGCAGCUAGCGUGCUAGCUAUUCUCAAAAAAAAAAAAAAAAGCAUUGGUCCCAAACCCCUAAGACGGCUUAGUGGAGGUAUAAAGAAGAAAAUAAACUCUUAUUCCCCCCUUUAUAUCUAAACACAAUUUUGGGAGACAGAAAUAAUAUUUUUAUUUUUCAUGAAACAAGUUGGUAUAAAGACGGAACCACUGUUUCACCUUUUUUUUCUGAAACAUUAAGCUUGUUAAUUUCUAUUUCCUAAAUGAAAACAAGCUUAAUUAAAAUCUGAAUUUAAUUUUAAUUAUGGUACUAAAUUAUUAAUAAAUCAAAUUAAUGUAUUUAAAUCAUAAUCUAUUGCUUAAAUAAUAAAGUAAUUAAUUAAUUUAUUAUUUAUAAUUAAUUAGCUAAUUAAAAUUAAAAGUUUAAUAUUUUAUCUAGUUAAUUUCUUUACUGAUUAUCUAACUAAAUGAUUUACUAACUAAUUAAAAAGUAAAAUUACUUUUUAUCUCUAAUUAAUUAAUUAAUUAAUAUAUUUUUAUUAUCUUAUACAAUAUUCAUAGCUAAUAAAUUUAUUAAUUUAUUAAAUUAUUUGUAAUUAAUAUUUUGAUGUUAAUUAAUUAGAUAAAAUAUUUUUAACCUAAAAUUAUAACUCUUAUUCCUCCUAUUCCAAUCUAAUCAUCCAAAUACUAAUUACCUUAAUUCUAGGAACAAUACAAUUUUCAUCCAAAAUAUAAAACUGCUCUAAUUCCUGCGUAUACUUAAACUUAUACCUAUCUCUGAAAUAAGUAGUUCUUUCGUAUAUCCGAACCAAACGCAGGAGGAUACGCUUAGUCCUCUAUUACCGCCGUGUCUCAUAUUCUGAAAGAUCCUAUUAUUUUUCACAAGCCAUGCAUACUAUCCCCUAGGAAGUUUAUCAUACCAUUUUCCUAAUUUGAGUGUCCAUUAUCAACAAUAAACCCUCUCAAUUUCAUUGGUUAUACAUUUUCUUCGUGGGGAGGAAGUCUACAGUAUAACACUUGCAUCAUAUUUUUUAUGUUUAGCCAAUCACUUUUUUUUUUUCAGAAAAAUAUAGCAUAUUAUUUUUUAAAAAAAAUUAUAAUAAAUCUAAAAAAAUAAUUUAAUUAGUUGAAAAUAUUAUAUUAUAUAUUCUAUGUCACCUUCACAUUUUAGACCUUUUCCUUCAGCUGGUGGUCCUUCUCUGCAAAUGCCACCCUAUAAAUCACACACAUCCCAUAGAUUUCCAAACAAUCCUUGUCUUUUUCAAUUGACCAUAAGAUGGACAGCAACACAAUCAGACCGUGCCACCUUUUUGGAUGUUGCAUCCAAUAAAUAAAUAAAUAAAUAAAAAUAAAAACUCUAUAAAAUCAAUGCCUAAUAUACUCGCUUGAUGGGCUUUAUCAUAACUCUAAUUUUGAAUUAAAAAAAUUUGAUCCUCUAUUUCUAAGAGGUCGUUUGAUUUUAAUUUUACUCGCUUGAUAAACUUUAUUACAAAUUUAAAAAUCACAAACUUUAAUUUUUAAAUAUUUCAAAUACUCUAGAUUAUAUAUUAUAGUAUUAUUAAAUUAAUAUAAAAUAUAUAAAUAUAGUUAAAGUUUAACUUUUUGAAGAAUAAUCAUUGUUUUCACAUAAUUUAACAUGCUAUCAGAAUAAGAGCUUAUAAUCUAUAUUUAUAUCCAUACAUUAUUUCUUAUAAAAUUUACCAAAUGGCAAUUUCUUUUCACCCUUACCUCCUCUCCCCUUCCCACUCUCUAAUUGCUUCGCCUUUUUACCCCCAUCUCCGUCUAAUGCUUCGUCUUUUUACCCGCUCAUUUUCUAAUUAAUGCGUUUAUAUAAUUUAUUGUUAUCUAAACAAAUCGCUUUCACAAAAAAAAGAGUAAAAUAAAAAAUCUCUUCAUAUAUAGUUUUUUUUUCUCACACUAUUUGCAUUUAUUGAUGUCUCAUGGCAAAUCAAAAAAUUUUAAAAUUUUUUACUUUAUCAAUCUUCUAUUUUUUAUAAUAUUAGUCCGCCGUAAUGCGCAGAUAACUUUACUAGUAUUAUUUAAUUUUUUUUUAUUUAAUUAAGCCCAUGUCUUGGAUUUAUUAAAAAUCUUAUCCAGACGUAAAAAAAAAAAAUAUUAAACAUAAAAUAAAUAAAUACUGAACUCUACUAUUUUUAGUUUCUAAAGAUAAACUCGAUCUUACCUACUUACAUUUAAUUGCCGUCCGCUUCUUAAACAGACCUGUACUCCACAAGAUGAACUAAUGCUAUGUAUAGUUCUUAUAGAAAAAAAAAUCCCAAUUAGCCUCCUUUUAAAAAAAUUCCUAACCUAGGCUACUUUUGAUAUAUAGAAAAUAAAAAGAUAACUUUAAUAGUAUUUAUAUGCUAACUUGGAGAGAGAAAUUUUUUUUCUCUCUCUCCUCUCACCCUACUAAUAAUUUAAAAAAUAUUAAUUUUUAAAAUAAUAAUAUUAUUAAAAUUAAUAUUUUAAUAAUAAUAAUAAAUAUUAUAUAUUUGAAUUUUUUUGAAAGAUAGCAUGAUGCUAUCUCUUCAUUUAUUUUUUAGAAAAUAAAUCUUGCGAAAUAUUAAUAAUUCAAACUCAGGACUUUCAAAUAAGACCAACCCAUAAUUUAACACUUGUACUAAAUACUAGUAAUAAUAAUAAUAAAUUAUCAUUCAGUAAUAAUAAUGUCAUUAUUAUUAAAUAUUAAUUUUUAAUUAUUGUUAUUAUUAUAAAAAGUAAUUGAGAGAAAAGAGAGAGAAAUUUUCUCUCUCCUAAUUAACAUAUAAAUGCUUUUAAGUCAUUUUUAUUUUCUAAUCCAUCAAAAGAAGGCUAGAUUAGGAUUUUUUUUUAAGAAGAAAGCUAGAUUGGGAAUUUUUUUUUCUCAAUAAGGCUAGAUGUGGCAUUAGUUCCGGCAAGAUGGUGUGGAUACGAACCAAACAGGGCCUAAGACACUUUAGAGGUUGCUUGAACCCAAAACUAGGCCAUAAAUCCGAAUUUGAUAUUAAGGACCCACAUCCAAUUUUAAUCGGGUUAUCGGGUUAUCGGGUUAUCGGGUCUCUUAACUCCUCCAUCUCAAUCUCCACUCCUACAUAAACUCUUAGCCCAACUCCCUUUCCUUCUCCUAAACUACUCCACUACCAUGGUAGCGUCCUCCUCGCCAAUGGCCACGGCAAUCGCCGCGAUCGCCGACGCCGCCUCGUGGUGCUGCGCCCUGGCGGUGGUGGCGCUGGUCGUCCUUUGCGCCCUCCGAGCGGGGCCUCCGACGGCGGCGGAAUUGGCCGCCGUAGCCGACGAAGGAAGGCAAUUUGAUGCGGUAUUGCGCGGCGCGAGGCUCGCGGAGAAGCGGCUGUGCGACGAGAUAUACGUGGUGGGAGAGGGGGAGACGCUGCACAGCAUCAGCGACAAGUGCGGCGACCCGUUCAUCGUCGAGCGCAACCCCCACGUCCACGACCCCGACGACGUCUUCCCCGGCCUCGUCAUCAAGCUGAUCCCCCACCAACAUGUUUAACGGCUCUAUAUAGAGAGAGAGAGUGAUAGUAUGUGAAUAAUAUUUAUUAUCUAUUUUUUUUAUCAUCAUGUUACUAUUAUUUCACCUAUCAGUACUUAAUCCUAAGCAUUUGAUUGUACAAAAAUAGAUAGCAAAUAUUAUUUUUAUUUUAUCAAAAGCAUUUCAGCCACGUUUUAUAUAUAUAUAUAUAUAUAUAUAUAUAUAUAUAUAUAUAUAUAUAUAUAUAUAGUAUAUAGAGAAUUAGAGUACUUAAGAGGUUAAUCAUAUAUUACUGUCUAAGUUGUUAGAAUGUAAAUAAAAAUGUAUAUAACUUAUCUGCCUCAUAAACUAUUUUAAGUCAGCUAUUCAAGCUUUCAAAUUUUUAAUUUUUUUAUUCUAUCUUUCAAUUUAUGUGAUUUGAGUUAGGCUUAGUUUGGUAUUGAAAUCUAUCUAACGCUAUUAAAUAAAUGGAGUUGAGGAAAAAGCAUAUAGGGAUAUACUUCUGCGUUCUCCGAUGGGACCGCGAAAAAUAUAUCGUAACCGACUCAUCGCGAUAUGCAGAAUGCAAUAUUACGUACGAAAACAAACAGGGUAUUUUUCCAUCGUCGUUUCUCACCGCACGUAAUGCAAUCUUUCCGCAAUCCCAAACGAAGCCUUAGUCAGUUAUAUUUUGACCUCAAAAUUUAGAUUGAUUACUUACUCUGCUGAAUUUAUUGGCACAAGAAAUUUAUAGAAUAUACCAACUAAAUCUUUAGAAAUAAACAUUAUAUUCGAAUUUUGAAGCUAAAUUAUCACAGAGAAACUCAGAUCAAACAAAUUGCAAGAUUACAUAAUAAAAUUAAAAUUUUCAAAAAGUUAGAUAGUCAAAUAAAAAGGUCAACAAUUAAAGCAUAUAAGUUCUGUAUGUUUACCUAAAAUAUAUGAUAUUGAAGUAUGAUGAGUUUAUACCUUAGAUCUUUGUGAUGUUUCUUUUGUUUAGAUUAUUUAUGAGCAGUUUUAUAUUAAUUUUUUUAAUUUUUUUUUUGAAAGACGGCGAGGAAUAAUCACUCAGCUAGCUUCAUUCAUUAGAAAACUGAACAGCUUAAUUCAUUAAAACAAAGAAGAAAUUACAAGGAAAAUAAUAUUUUUGUGGAGAAUUUUAACUCUCGCUGAUUUGAUCAUCUUUUCGUCUUCUAUUAUCCUUUUUGGUCUCUGAUAUGAAUUCUAAUAAAUGUCUCGUUUUGUUAUUGCCAUAUAAAGUAAUUUCUUUUGUGGGCUCCAAAAAUUAUAGGAGGUAGGAAUUGGGAGGAAGAGGAGAGGUAGAUUGAGAGUAAUGAGUUGCUGAGUAAGCUAAGGUUAGUUCACCUACUCGCAUCUAACAUUAUCAAGUGUUGGUUUCUAGUUGGAAAGUGGUGUAAAUGAUCCUGCGAUUCCCAAUAAACAAUAAAAAUAUACUUAACACUUUCAUUCACGUACACGAUAGAUUUAACACUAAUGUAAAGUUGCUAUGAUGGAGAUUUGAAUUCAAAACCUCACAAUCCUGAAUGAUUUUAAACAGUUUAGAAUAUAUAUAUAUUUUUUGAGAAUAAUGUAGUAUGCUACCGCUUCAUUCAAUAAGAAGGUGAAUUUAGCAAAAGGGUGAGACAACUAGGCCUCAAAAAAAAAAAAAAAAAAAAACACUACUACCUAGUACAAUAAGAAAGCCAAAGGUUCCGGUAUACUCGAAUGUUCGAUGGCAGUUGACUUGGGGAGCUCUUUUUGUCGAAUAUUUUUCUAUUCCUCUCUAACCAAAUGGCCCACCAAGCCGAGGCGAUUGUCGCUAAUUCUCGCUCCCUCAGGGCCCCAUCUUUACGACAUCUCUCCUCCCAAAGACGGUCAACUGAGGUACAGUUAGAAAUCACAGUUUAGAAUUUACUAAUUAAGAAUUAGACUACUAUACUAUUAAUAGCAUCCGGCGCUUGAUACUAUUAGUUUUUUGGUUCUUAGAUGAAGGGAUGUGUGGUUAGGAUGAUAGAGGUGCUCUAGAGUUGAGUGGGUGGUUGUUUAAUAGUAUAAUCUAAUUGAUGGAAAUAGUCAAAUGGGCAGGUCUAACUGCAUAAUCAAACAUUCGGUUUUAUCAAUAGUAUAGUAACCGGAGUCUACUAAUUAUUAUUAUUAUUAUUUUUUUGUAGAUACAUAAUUUAU